rnacentral:lncRNA from 1 species
GGCACCGCUAUCUUGCAAGCAUCCCCAAGAUCCAACAAUCAUGCAUCUCACCGUCUUCUUCCUCCGUGCCUUUCUCUGCAGCUGGCGAGCGUGAGGAUGCUGCCGUGGGCGAGGGCGCACCUCAACCCCACCGGGCAGGCGCUCAUCAUCUCCACCGUCGCCGGGAUGGCCUACUUCAUCGUCGCCGACAAGACCAUCGUAUCAAUGGCCAGGAAGCACUCCUACGAGGACGCGCCGGAGCACCUCAAGAACACCUCCUUCCACUAAUUAGACUGUAAUAGACCCAUUAGUAGCAGUGUGCAAUAAACUGCAUGCCGGCCUGCACGUGUCUGCUGAAGGAUACUAGCACUAGUAUAAUGUUCAGCAAUUAUCUGAGAUCAGGCUAGGCUUGCAGACAGUGAGUGGUGUAGUGUACUGGUCUUCUCUGCGUGCAAUUAGCACUUAUCUGAUCAAGUAAUCAUCAUGUAUCCAGCCAGUGAUCUUGAAUUAAUAAUAACUUGCAUUUGUACAACUCAGGUUUACCCACCAUCGCCCAUCUUACAUUUUCUUGUUUGUGGUUAUCAUCGCAAAGUCUUUUUUACCGGUUAAGGUAGCUACCGGUGAAGCAUCGACUGGCCAUUUUGCUCGUGAUUCGUGCUGUGGUGGCCCACAUCCAAUGUAUAAGAGUGUAUUUGUGGCAGUUAAUCUUUUGUAUAUAGUCAAAUCAGUGUCAGAUUAAUAGGUUUUGCAGUGGGAUGUAUGUAUGCAUGCAAUGUCUCUUCCCUCUCCCUCUCCCAAACAAAUCCAUGCAUUUUAUUUUUGUUUACAUUUUUAGAUGGCCAAUAUUUUUACAGUGAUGCUCUAUUAUUUAAUUUUUUCAUAUAUUCAAAUUCCUGAACAUAAAAUCUUCAGAAUAAGACCAAUCUUGAAUAUAUUUAAACUAGUUUAAUUUUUACUAUUUCAAUCAUAUCAAAAUAUUAAUUUCACUCAUUUCAAAUUUCAAUUUUCAAAAUAAUUGAAACGAUUGAAACCACGUUUCUGAAUAUAGUUUUCUUAAGUUGUUGAAACCAGUUUGUGUGAAAUUGAUUCGUUCAAAUACAUUGUACAAGAAAACUAUGAAAUGUGAGAUUUCAAAUAUGUGAAAUUGAAUGUUUCAUUGUGUGAAAUCGAUUAUUUCAAAUAUAUGAAACUAGUACUUUCCAAAUAUAUGAAACUGGUAUUUUUUUAAUAUAUGAAACAUAAUUUUGUGUGUUUAUCAACUUUCUUAUUCCAGUGUGUAAAAAUAUGUGAAAUGGAUUAUUUCAAACAUGUUUUAAUAUGUGAUUUUUUAGUGUGUUUGUCAAGUUGCUUAUUCCGCUGCGUGAACAUCUGUGAAACAGGUUAUUUCAAAUAUGUGAAUUUGGUUGUUUCAUUACCCGGAAUUGAUUAUUAAAAAUAUAUGAAACUUGUAUUUCUCUGAUAUAUGAAAUAUAUUAGUGUGAAAUUGUUUUUUCAAUUGAGUGACUGUAAUGUGUUUUUUUUUUGAAACUAGUGAAAUGAGUGAAAUAUAUAUUAUGUAAUGAGUGUAAUCAAUUUUCUAAAAUAAGUGAAAUAUAGUAUUUCAGUUGAGUGAAAUCAAUUUUUCAAAACAAAUGAGUGAUACCAGCUUUUUAAAACAAGUGAAAUAUAACUUUUUGGUGUGAAACUGCUUACUUCAAUGUUUGAAACUGAUAUUUCUACUGAGUGAAAUCCGUUUCAAUAUAUUUUUGUAAAUACGAAGUGAAAUUAGUUUUUGAGAUAUAUCUUUAAUGAGUGAAACCAUUUUUUUAAUCAGUGAAAUGUGCUUUUUUGGAUACCAGAAUCCGUACGCCCGGACUGCUAAGCGGACAUAUACAGGUCCUCGUUGGAUGUCGAAAGUGGUCUGGACACUGCGGUCUGGACAUAUAGUGAAGGUUUGAGGGUCCACCUUGAAGAUGCCCUUAAUAGAGCAAUCGUGCGCCAGCAACCCUAUCCCAGUUUAGAACUAUCUUCCCUUUGAUCAAACCUUCGAAGUUCGGAAUGUGCUCCACUUCCAUCUCCAUUUCCUCCUGGAUGUUGACUUCAUCAUCAACUCGACAUGUUCGUAGUCCGAUUUUGAUGAACCAAUGAACUCUUUUUGACUGAAUUCAUCAACCUCAUGGUCUGUAUACUCCUCAUCCUACGAGACUGACAAAUCCAUUGUUUUUCCUAUAAAAGAAUCCAAAAAAACUGCUUAGACAUUAUUGAACACAUAGAGGGCAAAGGUGUAUGACGGGAGGAGCGGGACGUACUGCGGUGGCGAGAAUGGUAUGAAGGAGUUUUGUGGUGGUGAUGGUUAUGCCGACACUGUGGGGUCAUAACGAUGGCAAAGCUAGGGUGACUAUGAAGCUAGGGAAGGGAUGUCGUGGACGAGGGAGAAAAGAGGAGACAAAAAUGGCAGGUCUACCUAGGCCGAGGUGAUUUGAUGAAAUUUUGUGGUGGGUCUUAUUUGUCGGAUCCGACAUGGCGGACGUGUCAGAGCCUCCCCAUAACCGUUCCAGAUAUGGGCUAGAUAUGAUGGGUGUCGGUCGGCCCGGAUGUAUGGGGCCCAUUUGAGGGGGCCGGUUGGGUUGUUAUUUCUUGAACCCAUCCGCCAGCCCAUAUAAAGGGUAUGAUACAAAGCCAAUAUAAAGGAUCCGGUUGUAGAUGCUCUAAGCAUUGAACGCGAAGGUCUCACGUUCGCUAAGGUGCGCAAAGACAACCACUGCAAUGUUAGUGUAUUCCUAAUUAAGGGCAUUUUCAAUGUUGACCCGCAAAUUUUCUCCCGCGUCCGUCCCGAGACAGAGGAACCAGUCCGUGGACACGGAUGCGGGAGCCACAUACAUUUCAAGACGGUUUUUCACAAACCCGACGGAAUUCAUCAAAGUUCGGAUAGAAAAUAGCGCAAGUCAUCUAUACAUAGCAUGCAAAUAAGUCUAUUAAAACAAUAGCCAAAUUUAACGAGCUUAACCGGAUGUUCAACAAGCUUUUCAUGAAUGGAUCAUGUCGUCACACAUACUGCCGCUUUAGCUUCAUCCAACAGUGUAUGUACAUAAAAAGGCCGUCCUCUAUCCUGUGGUACAUCAUGGCAAUGCUUACGGGACAAUGUGUAGAGAAACAUUGAGUGAGCGAAUGAUUCAAUCAACAAGUUGAGCAGGAGGAAGCAAAACUUUACGAUGUCCUUCGCUGCCGUGUCCAAUGGCCACAUUGCCUCCAGGCCGAGUAACCGUGUAACAAAACUUGGUAGUCUGGACGGCAUACCAUCGAUACGAUAACGACUUCACAUUGAGAUCAUGGAUGAUGUGCAUGUCAUAGAGCGCAAUGUGCUUUCGCGCGUGAAACGAAUCAUGCACGCGCUGCCAGAAGAUCCCUCUUCUGCUCAAGCCUACGAACUCCAUGGAUAUGGCCAAGCACGCAUCGCACAACAACUCAUCCUCCAUGGUCGAGUACCCCCACCAUUCUUUGUGGUCACGACAUGCCAUUCGAAAAUAAGCUCAAUUACAUUUGACCGAACACCUGCCAGGCAUGGUGUCAGCCAUGGACAUCGUCGACAGGGGGGGAGGGGGAGUGUACCUAGCUACAGACGGGUCCUGGGUGGACGGCGCCGUCGUAAAAGGUGAGGGGGCGCGUCGGUGCUGAUUGCGUACGUCUGGCAAUGCCUGUGUGGCGGCCGGAGAGGUAUAGUGACAAUGUCGGAGAAGGAGGAAGCAAGGGGGAGAAGGGGCGGCUUGGAAGAAAAUGUGACCGGGAGGAGAGACGGGUUUAGUGGCCGGGGGUUCGGAGUCCUACGUGGCUACUGUCCGGACUCCCGCAACCCACCUCCCACUUGCUUCCAAUUUGCAGGAAAAAGUGCCUCCGGAUCGGUCAGCAGACCGGUACACGCAUUGAAUGGCAAAACACGCCCGAACCGCGUAGUUUGAAUAUGUGCGGGCGGUUUGAGGGUUGAUAUUGGAGAUGCCCUAAAAUGAGUAUAACGCAUAGUUUACCUAGCUAAAAUAAAUUUAAAUUGAGAUUUAAAGUUCCUUUGAGAAUUUUGAACGGUAUCCUGUUGGUUUUAUUCGGUAGCCGCAUCUUUUGCCCCCUCAUGGCAUUUGUUCAGUAUAUUUCGUAGCCAUGACCUUGGCCGGGAUCGGGAUUCGCGAAGAUGGGAGAUGUACGGUGGUUGUGUGCGAGCGGUGACGUAGCUAGCUAGUGAAAACCUUAACGUUAUUUGAAUGGGUGAUUGACUUUAUAUUUCCCCGCAACCAAGGUGAUGAACGAAGACGAACCAACAUGUGGUUGAAUGGUUAGGAGGAUAGAGGUAUUCUCAGCCCACUAGGGUUCAAGUCAUGAUAAAUUAAGGAUUUACAGCUAUGCGUGUUCAGUGAGAGGAGUCGUUUCCGUCGAUUACAAGGCGGCCAGGGUGACUUUGACUGUAUGCUUGUAUAUACGAGCGCGGUUAAGAAAAAGUUGAUCAACAAAGGAUUUGCAGCGAACCAGUCGCGGAAUUGGACUGCUGCCGGGUUGGAUGAAAACAGGGAGCGCCCACACAGAUCUCCAACAAAACGGAGGGCACACUCACGCACAUGCCCCUACGUGUUAUCCUACGCAGGAGCACGCUCCCUGCCAACCCUGAUCGCUCCAUGCCUCAUUUUUAUCCAGUUGCGGUGCAGUGGUCAUCAAAAAGUAUGAGAGGCGAGUCACGUGGGAUGGUUUUUAUAUGCGGACCAUCUGUGCUCUGCCGCGUCGCCGGCCAUCCCGCCCGCCCGCCGCUCGUCUGAAAACCACGGUCUCGCUCCCCACCGUAUCAGCUAGCAUUCCUCUCCGCACGCCGGUUUCGCUGUUUCUCGUAGCCUAUAAAUCCGGCCGGAGCACCCAGCUCUGCCCCAUCCCAUCUCACACACCACUACUCAUCUUGCCUCACACACUUCACUGCUAGCUACUAGUAAUUCACUUCCUUGGGUUCUCGUGCCACCGAGCUCUCUCCCGCGAAGAUGUCGACGGUGACCCCUGCCUACCUCGACCAGAGGCUCGCCGCCGCCAAGCGCUCCUCCAGAGGUAACCAAAACGAUAUGCUGGCCCGCCGGUUCACCAUGCCGGCAAUGCUCUUGGCACUCUGUUCAAGUACAUUGUAGCUUUCUGUACGGUCUGUGCUGAAACUUGGUCGUCAUUAACAUCCCUACGUCGAUUCGAAACUGCAGAGGCCGCCAUGGCGGGAGCCAAGGCCGCGGCCGUCGCCACCGUCGCCGCCGCAAUCCCCACCGUAAGUACACGUUUCUCACCUUGCAAACAUCCCCAAGAUCUAACAAUCAUGCAUCUCACUGUCUUCUUCCUCCGUGCCUUUCUCUGCAGCUGGCGAGCGUGAGGAUGCUGCCGUGGGCGAGGGCGCACCUCAACCCAACCGGGCAGGCGCUCAUCAUCUCCACCGUCGCCGGGAUGGCCUACUUCAUCGUCGCCGACAAGACCAUCCUCUCCAUGGCCAGGAAGCACUCCUUCGACGACGCGCCAGAGCACCUCAAGAACACCUCCUUCCACUAAUUAGACUGUAAUAACAGAUCCAUUAGCAGUGCGCGAUAAGCUGUGUGCGCCAGCCCGUACGUGUCUGCUGAAAGAUGGUGUGUAACGUUCAGCACUUACCCGAGGCUUGCAGACAGUCAGUGGUGUGGUGUACUGCUCUUCUCUGCGUGCAAGGACUUGUCUGAUCAAGUAAUCAUCAUGUAUCCAGCCAGUAAUCUUGAACUAAUAAUAACUUGCAUUUGUACAACUCAGAUUCACCUGCCACUUAGUACAUUUUCUUGUGUGUGGUUAUCAUUUGACAUGUGGCAAUGUCCGAGCAUGCAUAAGACAAAAGUAACUCUGCAUUCUUUGGCCCUGUUUGGAUCAUGGGUUACAACUAGUUUGGGUUAGUUGGGGGCUUAAAUCCCAAAAGUAUCCAAACAGGUAGGGUUAAAGUGGGUUAGUUCCAUCUAACCCAACUAUCCCCGUGAAGAGGUGCUUAUUUGAGUUAGAGUGGGUUAGAAUAUAACUCUAACUCUAACUGUGUUAGAGUAUCCAAACAGGGCCUUUGACCCCCCGUUCCUCCCCUGUUUUGGGGUGCACAUCGGGAUCAUGCCACCUCACUUGUUAAAUCUUUUGAUAAGGUUUAAUAGAUGCCGCCGCAAAUUAGGAAAGUUUUUAUAAAGAAAAAAAAACCUCAUAGCACUCAUGCAUUUCAACAAAGGAGAGAGCGACAAAUCCCUAUUGUGCCUGAAGCAGGGAUCAUGCACACCACCCCCACGCUCUAGAAUAAGGAUUUGUGCAUACGACAAGAAAUGUUUCAUGGAAUCUUCUUUGUCCGGGUAGAAAGUAGUGUUAGGGGCAACUCAUUUCGUCUGUCCAUAUCUGUUUGGAUUGCCGCGGACAAAAACGCAGGCCCAAUGCGUCGGCUCAAACUCAAAAUGCGUCCGCUUCGUAUCCUCGUCGACCCAUUUCAGGCCUAAAUUUAGAAUUGAAAUGUGUCGGUGUGGACGCGCCGCGCGUCCCCUCGAUGUCCGCCGCGGCCCCACAUGUCGGCCAGCCAACUACCAAGUCGUAUUCACCAAGGGCCCACGCGUCAGCGGCUAGAAGCUACGGCGGCCUGCCUUUUUAAUCCACGAGUGCGCCAGGGGGGAGAGGGGACUCAUCCACUUCCACUGCCUGUCCNNNNNNNNNNNNNNNNNNNNNNNNNNNNNNNNNNNNNNNNNNNNNNNNNNNNNNNNNNNNNNNNNNNNNNNNNNNNNNNNNNNNNNNNNNNNNNNNNNNNNNNNNNNNNNNNNNNNNNNNNNNNNNNNNNNNNNNNNNNNNNNNNNNNNNNNNNNNNNNNNNNNNNNNNNNNNNNNNNNNNNNNNNNNNNNNNNNNNNNNNNNNNNNNNNNNNNNNNCGGCGACCACCAAACCUUAGGCAUGCGUUUCUUCAGCGGCUCCGGCAAGAGCAAGGGGAAGUUCGCCCCCGGCGCAUCCUCCUCUUACGCGGUUCCUCCUUCGCCGCCACGCCUGCCCGUCCCGCGAAGCAGCGCCUGCACAUUCCGGUGCACCAAGCACGCUGGCACUAGCUGUACAGGCAGCCAUUGCCAUAGUUGGAUGUCACGCUGCCGCACAACUGGCAUUUCGAUCCGCAGCGCAUCCCAGUGCCGGUGGUGCCAUGGACGCAGCGGCCGCGUACCUAGAGCAUUGGAGGCAGCGCGCUGACGGAGGAGCGUGCGCAAGGCGAGCGGCUGAUGCAGAGGAAGAGCGAGAAGGAGGAGGAGCGCAGAUAGAAGGAGGAGGAGGAGCGCCGAGCCAGCGCAGCAGGGCGACGUGGCCGGGCCUGGGAGGUGGCAUUCCCGUGGGCUGGCCCGGCGCCCCAGUUGGUCGACCUGACCGGCGUUCCUUCGGAUGCCUAGGGCACCGUGCGUGGUGGCGCGGACUUUUUUAAUUUUAUGUUUAAUGUAAAUGUAGACUUUGGGUGGCGGCUGACUGGUUUUAAUGCAUUAUUUAUGUUUAUGUUUGAACGUGAUUGUUUAUUUUAAGUCAGCAUUCAAAAAUGUGAGUCGGGCCAGCGUUGGAUGCAUGGGCAGACCCCAAAUGAAAAACCAGACACCGGCGUCCACGCGUCGACCCAAACGGAUAAAAAAUGGACAAAGCGCGCGUCUGUUUGGGUCGACGAGUUGGUGUUGCUCUUAGGGCACCUCCAACGGGAACCUCGCAAAUUUCCUCCCGCAUCCGUCCGCGGAUAGGGGUGACCAGUCUGCGGACAUGGACGCGGGCAUACAUUUUAGUAACAGUUCGAACUAAUUGGACAAGAUUCGAUAAAACCGAGUGGAUUUCAUUGAAGUUCGGACAUAGUUUACAUAAAAGGUCGAUAUUUCGACCGUUUAGCAAAAACACCAAAACCCUAUACCGGACGACCACCUCAUGCGCGUGGCCGCCCUGCCCUGCCGCACCGCUGUCUCUGUCAGUGACGUCGUCUUGUCGUCUGAUACGUCUCCAACGUAUCUAUAAUUUUUGAUUGUUCCAUGCUAUUAUAUUAUCUGUUUUGGAUGUUUUAUAUGCAUUAAUAUGCUAUUUUAUAUUAUUUUUGGAACUAACCUAUUAACCUAGAGCCCAGUGCCAGUUUCUGUUUUUCCCAUGUUUUUGAGUUUCGGAGAAAAGGAAUAUCAAACGGAGUCCAAACGGAAUAAAACUUUCGCGAUGAUUUUUCUUGGACCAGAAGAGACACCUACAAGAUUUGGAGAUGAAGUCACAAGACCAACGUGAAGGAAAUAUGCCCUAGAGGCAAUAAUAAAGUUAUUAUUUAUAUUUCCUUAUAUCAUGAUAAAUGUUUAUUAUUCAUGCUAGAAUUGUAUUAACCGGAAACUUAGUACAUGUGUGAAUACAUAGACAAACAGAGUGUCACUAGUAUGCCUCUACUUGACUAGCUCGUUGAAUCAAAGAUGGUUAAAUUUCCUAGCCAUAGACAUGAGUUGUCAUUUGAUUAAUAACGGGAUCACAUCAUUAGAGAAUGAUGUGAUUGACUUGACCCAUUCCGUUAGCUUAGCACUUGAUCGUUUAGUAUGUUGCUAUUGCUUUCUUCAUGACUUAUACAUGUUCCUAUGACUAUGAGAUUAUGCAACUCCCGAAUACCGGAGGAACACCUUGUGUGCUAUCAAACGUCACAACGUAACUGGGUGAUUAUAAAGAUGCUCUACAGGUGUCUCCGAAGGCGUUUGUUGGGUUGGCAUAGAUCGAGAUUAGGAUUUGUCACUCCGAGUAUCGGAGAGGUAUCUUUGGGCCCUCUCAGUAAUGCACAUCACUAUAAGCCUUGCGAGCAAUGUAACUAAUGAGUUAGUUGCGGGAUGAUGCAUUACGGAAUGAGUAAAGAGACUUGCCGGUAACGAGAUUGAACUAGGUAUUGAGAUACCGACGAUCGAAUCUCGGGCAAGUAACAUACCGAUGACAAAGGGAACAACGUAUGUUGUUAUGCGGUUUGGCCGAUAAAGAUCCUCGUAAAAUAUGUAGGAGCCAAUAUGAGCAUCCAGGUUUCGCUGUUGGUUAUUGACCAGAGAUGAGUCUCGGUCAUGUCUACAUAGUUCUCGAACCCGUAGGGUCCGCGCGCUUAACGUUCGGUGACGAUCGGUAUUAUGAGUUUAUGUGUUUUGAUGUACCGAAGGUUGUUCGGAGUCCCAGAUGAGAUCAGAGACAUGACGAGGAGUCUCGAAAUGUUUGAGACGUAAAGAUCGAUAUAUUGGAAGGCUAUAUUCGGACAUCGGAAAGGUUCUGAGUGGUUCGGGUAUUUAUCGGAGUACCCGAGAGUUACGGGAAUUCGCCGGGGAGUAUAUGGGCCUUAUUGGGCUUUAGGGGAGAGAGAGAGGGGUUGCCUAGGGCAGGCCGCGCGCCCCCCAAGGCCUAGUCCGAAUUGGACUAGGGGGAGGGGUGGCGCCCCCUCCUUCCUUCUCUUCUCUCUUCCCCUUCCUUCUCUCCUACUCCUACUACUUGGAAGGGGGGGAAUCCUACUCCCGGUGGGAGUAGGACUCCCCAAGGCGCGCCAUAGUAGAGGGCCGGCCCUCCCCCUCCUCCACUCCUUUAUAUGCAGGAGAGGGGGCACCCCACAGACACACAAGUUGAUCAUUGAUCUCUUAGCCGUGUGCGGUGCCGCCCUCCACCAUAAUCCACCUCGGUCAUAUCGUCGUAGUGCUUAGGCGAAGCCCUACGCCGGUAGCUUCAUCAUCACCGUUAUCAUGCUGUUGUGCUGACGAAGCUCAGCCUCGAAGCUCUACUGGAUCGUGAGUUCGUGGGACGUCACUGAGCUGAACGUGUGCAGAUCGCGGAGGUGCUGUACGUUCGGUACUAGGAUCGGUCGAUCGUGAAGACGUACGACUACAUCAACCGCGUUGUCAUAACGCUUCCGCUUUCGGUCUAUGAGGGUACGUGGACAACACUCUCCCCUCUCGUUGCUAUGCAUCACCAUGAUCUUGCGUGUGCGUAGGAUUUUUUUUGAAAUUACUGCAUAACCCAACACAACGAGGCGACGACAAGCCGUAGGGGCACGCCCCCUGGCUUGUGGCCCCCUCGGGAGUCCACCGACCUCCUUCCUUGGCCUAUAAAUAUAUAUUACCAAACCCUCAGUAAAAGCCACAAAAAUACUUUUCCACCACCGCAACCUUCUGUUCCCGUGAGAUCUCAUCUUGGGGCCUUUUCUGGCGAUCUACGUGAGGGAGAUUCAAUCACGGAGGGCAUCUACAUCAACCCUAUUACCCUUCCGAUGAAGCGUGAGUAGUUUACCUCAGACCUACGGGUCCAUAGCAAGUAGCUAGAUGGCUUCUUCUCUCUCUUUGAUUCUCAAUACCAUGUUCUACUCGAUGUUCUUGGAGUCUAUCCGAUGUAAUCUUCUUUUGCGGUGUGUUUCUCGAGAUCCAAUGAAUUGUGGAUUUAUUAUCGGAUUAUCUAUGAAUAUUAUUUGAAUCUUCUUUGAAUUCUUAUAUGCAUGAUUUGAUAUAUUUAUAUUUCAUUUUGAAUUAUCGUUUUGGUUUGGCCAACUAGAUUGGUAUUUCUUGCAAUGGGAGAGGUGCUUAGUUUUGGGUUCAAUCUUGCGGUGUCCUCACCCAGUGACAAAGUAGGGGUAGCGAGACACGUAUUGUAUUGUUGCCAUCAAGUAUAAAAUGAUGGGGUUUUCAUCAUAUUGUUUGAGUUUAUCCCUCUACAUUAUGUCAUCUUACUUAAGGCGUUACUCCGUUCUUUAUGAACUUAAUACUCUAGAUGCAUGCUGGAUAGCGGUCGAUGUGUGGAGUAAUAGUAGUAGAUGCAGAAUUGUUUCGGUCUAUUUGACACGGACGUGAUGCCUAUAUGCAUAAUCAUUGCCUUGGAUAUCGUCAUAACUUUGCGCUUUUCUAUCAAUUGCUCGACAGUAAUUUGUUUACCCACUCUAUUAUUUACCUUCAUGAGAGAAGCCUCUAGUGAAACAUAUGGCCCUCGGGUCUAUUUUCCAUCAUAUAUUUUCAGAUCUAUAAACAAAAAAUACCAAAAAUACAUUGCUGCAAUUUUAUUUACUUUUACUUUUUAGCAAUCUUUUAUACCUAUCUCUAUCACAUCUCACCUUUGCAAUUGACCGAGAAGGGAUAUUGACAAUCCCUUUAUCACGUUGGGUGCAAGUGUUUGAUUGUUUGUGCAGGUGCAUAGAUUAGGGACUUGCUUGUACCUCCUACUGGAUAGAUACCUUGGUUCUCUAACUGAGGGAAAUACUUAUCUCUACUUUGCUGCAUCACCCUUUCCUCUUCAAGGGAAAACCAACGCAAGCUCAAGAAGUUGCAUCGUCGUCGUGAUUCCUCCAGCGGUGCAACGACACCGGAGGGCCGCGACAGCCUUGUCCGGCGGCUGCCUGCCGCUCGCGGAGGAGCCGCUCCACCUCCUGCUGCGCCGCACGGAGUGCCCUCACGGCCACUAUCGAUGUGGCCUUCAGAGCCCUGGCGGACCAGCGUUGGUGGAUGAGUAGCUAAGCAACCACUCCUCGCCGAUCUUGGCGAGCUCGCCGUCAAGACGGCGGCGGCUGUCUCCCAGUGGUCAUGAAGCGGUCGAGUGCCCAAGUCGUGGCGAGAUCAGGGUUGUUGUGGACCUAGUUUGGUGCCACAUCGCUCUUCGCGAACGUGGAGCAGCGACCGGCAUUGCGCCGGUCGUACCUCUCCUACCGUCGAGCCGUGCACUCCGCCUCAGAGACGACGACCCUCGAGGCCGAGGGACCGCCGUAACAGCCUCCUUCGAGGUAGUGGAGGAGGCGGCCCCGCGCCUUCUUGAUCGUGGGCGGCAAUCUCCUUGACGGCGAGGCGGUGGCGGUGCAGCGGAACGAUGGCGCAUCCAUGCGGCCGUACUGGCCUCAUGGUGGGGACGACGGCUCUUCCUUGACCCGUCGUUCGAUCUGGACGCCAUGAUGGUGUGGGGGCGAGGCCGGCUCCUCCUUCACGCGGCGUAUGAUUUGGACGACAUGGUUGUGCCGGGGCAAGGCCGGCUCCUCCUUCACAGGAAGGAGAGGGAACAUGCAUCCUCGCCGCAUCCAAGCGACUGCAAACUGCCCGCUUUCCUCCAAGAAACCCGCAUAUGUGCCGAGAAAUAUACUUCGACCACUCGUACGUCCGCGAGCCGGUCGGCAUUAAACACAAUGCCGGUUGGCUUCUCGUGUCUGCCCACUAUUUAAAUGAUGCCAGACUCCGGAGAAUAACAACAACACACCUCCACUCCCCAUUUCCUUCUUGAACAUUACCGGUGACGAGGUGAGGAGUGACAAGUUCCCCAGGUCGACCCGGGCAUCGUGGUUGUUGUGGACGACGUCGUGUCGUACCACCCCUCCUGUGUCUGCGUCCGCGCCCUGGAUGCAGAGAAAGAGAAGCCGGCUGCACGGACAUCGACCAGGUGGUGGCCAGCACGCCAGCGCCUGCCGCCAUCAUCGAGGAGAAGUAGAACACGGGAGGUUGCAGCUGCUUGGGUUCCAUGAAGGCCACCGCCGAGGCGACACCGCCGUACGCAACCGGUGUCUUGCCCUGUGGCAGGCCACCAUGUCCCCCUACCCAAAAACCAACUCUGGUCCUUGCAGUGUAGGGACCCUCCCCCUCUGGCUGAAGCAUCAGCCGACAGUUCCACUCCGAUGAGCGAUGGGAAAGCGAGCCGCCCUUUGCGUUGAAGCAUCUACCUCCGGGGCUCACGGUUGCCGGACAUAGGGACAACUAUGAAGGCGUGGUCGGCAGUAGACUAGUCAAGGGUAUCCAUAUCGUCGGAAUGGAUAUCCGCCGCCGCCGGCCGUAGACUAGUUUUAUCUUAUUUUCCGAUUUGUAUGGCAUCCAUUAUGUUUGCAUGAAUUUAAUUCGGUUUGUUAAAAAGAUGUUUAAAAUGUAUGCAAGGAGCAUUGGAUGGGGUCUCCGACAUCGGCGUCCGUGGACAGAUGAGCAAAUUGGCGAAAUGACGAAAGGUGCAAACCUACCUCGGGUAGUUUCUCAGCAGGGAACGACGCCGACGAAAGUGGCAAACUCUCGCGGAGUUGGCGGAAAAUUGGGAGCGCCAAAACGGAGGGCACACCGCACUCCUCUCACGCACAUGCUCCUCCUAGUCUAGUGUUAGAGCAUCUCUAGUAGACCCCGCAUAAGUGGUCAAACCCGUAAAAAUUUUGCGUUUUACAGUUUUGGGCGAAAAAAGUGUCCAGAACAGAAACUGUAAAAGUGGUUCAACCCGUAAAAAUUUUAAGGGCCACCCGCAAAUGCACACCUGAAACCCUUAUCUUUGGAGGUUGGAAAGCCGAAUCUAGGGGGCCCGUAUACCGGUCAAACCUCGUCGAAACAAUCACGUCGCCGCGGAGUUUGCCGGAAUCCGCCCUAAACUCGCCGGAAUUCAUCACCGCACACCGGAAAAGGCCUCUAGGCGCCGCAAUCAGUUGCCGCCGGUUCGAAUUGGACGAGCUCGACAUAGCCGUGGCCUCCCAUGACCUCAGCCUAGCCGCCGGAAUCCUCCCGACGCGGCAGGCAAAAGGGCACGACUCGGCUGGCAAUAGAGUAAGGCGCGGACUGCGUAGGCGGCGGGGCGUGGCCGGCAAGGCUGGGCGCGGACGACGGAGGCGACGGGGCAUGGCCGGCGAGGUUGGGCGCGGCCGGCGCGGUGANNNNNNNNNNNNNNNNNNNNNNNNNNNNNNNNNNNNNNNNNNNNNNNNNNNNNNNNNNNNNNNNNNNNNNNNNNNNNNNNNNNNNNNNNNNNNNNNNNNNNNNNNNNNNNNNNNNNNNNNNNNNNNNNNNNNNNNNNNNNNNNNNNNNNNNNNNNNNNNNNNNNNNNNNNNNNNNNNNNNNNNNNNNNNNNNNNNNNNNNNNNNNNNNNNNNNNNNNNNNNNNNNNNNNNNNNNNNNNNNNNNNNNNNNNNNNNNNNNNNNNNNNNNNNNNNNNNNNNNNNNNNNNNNNNNNNNNNNNNNNNNNNNNNNNNNNNNNNNNNNNNNNNNNNNNNNNNNNNNNNNNNNNNNNNNNNNNNNNNNNNNNNNNNNNNNNNNNNNNNNNNNNNNNNNNNNNNNNNNNNNNNNNNNNNNNNNNNNNNNNNNNNNNNNNNNNNNNNNNNNNNNNNNNNNNNNNNNNNNNNNNNNNNNNNNNNNNNNNNNNNNNNNNNNNNNNNNNNNNNNNNNNNNNNNNNNNNNNNNNNNNNNNNNNNNNNNNNNNNNNNNNNNNNNCGUGCGACGCGUCUUGGCCUGCGAGCGAUGGGGCGCGGCCGACGGGGUUGGACGCGACCGGCGUGGCCGGCGCGGCCGGCUGGGGGAAGGGGCGGCAGCGGCCGGACUGAAGGAAGGAGCUCUUUAUUCCAGUUUUACAGUUUGUUUUACAGUAUCUAUUCGGCCGCAGCUAAAAUAAAUCUUUGAAGCGCACUUUUUUCAACUCGUAUCUCAGUUUUGCAGUUUGCGAUUUUAAAGGAUCCGCUAGAGAUGCUCUUAUCCCACGCACGCUCCCUUCUCUGCCAACCCCGAUCGAUCGAUGCCUCCUCUUAUCCCGUUGUAGUGGAGUGCAGUGCACGUGAGAUGGUUUUAUAUACGACCAACGAGGCAGGGGCGGCGCCAUUGUUGAUUCGUAACUGCAGAGGCAGCCAGUCGGUAACAUGCAUGCCAUUGUUGAUUCGUAACUGCAGAGGCAGCCAUUGCGGGAGCCAAGGCCGCCGCCGUCGCCACCGUUGCAACCGCAGUCCCCACCGUAAGUACACGUUUCUCAGCCGGCACCGCUAUCUUGCAAGCAUCCCCAAGAUCUAACAAUCAUGCAUCUCACUGUCUUCUUCCUCCGUGCCUUUCUCUGCAGCUGGCGAGCGUGAGGAUGCUGCCGUGGGCGAGGGCGCACCUCAACCCAACCGGGCAGGCGCUCAUCAUCUCCACCGUCGCCGGGAUGGCCUACUUCAUCGUCGCCGACAAGACCAUCCUCUCCAUGGCCAGGAAGCACUCCUUCCAGGACGCGCCGGAGCACCUCAAGAACAUCUCCUUCCACUAAUUAGACUAAUAGAUCCAUUAGUACUUUAGUAGUGCGCAAUAAGCUGCGUGCGCCAGCCCAUCUUAUCUUAUACAUCUUAUCUUAUAUUUACUAAUUGAAGGCAUCAUACGAAGCUCCACGUUAAUCCACAUCAUUAAAAGUGCGUUGGUCAUUCUCAAUCAUCCGAUCUAUGUUAUAGAUUUAUCUUGACCCUUCAAUUUCCGUUACACCCGUGACAAAAAAAUAACCAAUCUGGACGUAAACAUGACCCAACUUGCACAUAGUUAACAUCAGAAGAAAAAUCAAUAUUUUCCUUAACAAAAACGUUAUAAGAGUCGCGAUCUCACAAGAAAAUUAAACACCGUUAUUAUAAGAGACAUAUCUCAAUAUAAACCGCCAUGAUGGCAUUUCCCUCAAAAAAAGAGACCAUAUUUCAGAAGAAACAGGACCGUCAGCACAGUUGUAAAAAAAACAGGACUAUGAGCACGUUUACUAAAAAAAGGGGUCAUCACCACGUUCCUCUCCUUUCACGUAUGAUUCAAUCUUUGGUAAACAAAAAACAAAGGAAGCUCCACCCAUAAAAGCUCCAUCGAUAGAUAAAAAAAAACAGGACNNNNNNNNNNNNNNNNNNNNNNNNNNNNNNNNNNNNNNNNNNNNNNNNNNNNNNNNNNNNNNNNNNNNNNNNNNNNNNNNNNNNNNNNNNNNNNNNNNNNNNNNNNNNNNNNNNNNNNNNNNNNNNNNNNNNNNNNCGAUCUUUGGUGGAAAAAAAAAACAAAGGAAGCCUCCAGCCAUAAAAACUACAUCGAUAGAUAAAAAAAGAGAAAAUUAUCCCACAUCACGGAUGGGAAGAAAAAUCUUCCACGAUUCGGUUAUAGCACAUCGUAAUGCCUCUACCCAACCUUGACUGCGGAUAUAAUAAAAAGGAAAAAAAAAAAACAUCGACGUCGACUCCUGUACAUGGCCGCGGCCGUCUCCUUCCCUUCAAUAUUCGUGCACCUACCAGUCGAGACUGACGGCGCCACGCCUUCUCUGAUUGUUGAGUUGCAUUCUGUGAUGGAUGACCUUCCGCUUUAUGUUCUCCUGCGUGCUACCACCAUGGGAAAAUCAAGUUUGAAUCCAGCAUCUAUUGCUUGAUGGAACGAACCUUCAGGUAUGGUCUGAUUGCUUAAUCGCGUGAAUUACAUGCACGGAUGCAAUAAGUGGAUGCAAUUGUUUAUGGUCGGGUUCUGUAAAAUUUGGUUACAACUGUACGCAUGAGCAUGUUAACUGAUUGUUUUCUUCACGUAAGUGCACUAAGAACGAGAAACCGCACCAUUGCAGACGAACAAAAUGAAUCUGUCUUGAUUGCCUCCUCUCACUUUGCCUUUUGCCACUGUUCACAUUGUGUAUUACAUUUAGUUAAUUAAUAUGGCUAUUACUAAGUCGAUUGACAAUUUUUGGUAAGCUAAGUGCGCAUGCCGCGCACGUGGCCACCGGCACACGGGUCUUAUCGACCUCGUGCUCGGGGUGUGCUUCCCAUUUGGCACAUGGCUAUUACUAUGUCCUUUAUCCGUUGCUAGAUAUGUUAAGUUUGAAGAAAGACAAUAGCAGUAUAUAUACGUUGUUUUUCAUCCCUUCACUUAAUUUAAUUAUUUGUUGGAAGUGAAGGGAGCUGAAGUUAAUUAUGUCCCGACCUAAUGAUGUGGUAAGAGAUUCUUCGAACUUGAAUUUAAUUUUAUGGCCAUAUUUAAUUUCCGAAUAUAUAUUUCGGUAAUAUUAGUAUUAUGAGGCCCCUCAUCAGUUAUUACUAACAGCAUUUACUAUUUUAUUGGACAUUAAAAUGUGUUUCGGAAUCGCUUUGAGGUUUAUAGUAUAUUAUAAUCUGUUACUAAUGGGAGGCAUCAUACAAACCCCCAGGUUGACCUAUUAAAACACAUAAAAAUGACCUGAAGAUCUAAAUUCUACCAUUAUUAGGAUCAAGCAAGCACCGUGAAGUUCAGUUGGGGUCGAGUCCUAAAAGCUUACAAUUUUGUAUACCAUCGUAAACGUGUCUCCCUAGAAUUAUUGGUUUAGGACCAAGACUCACCUAAAAAAAAUAAAGCACAAGUCUAAAAAAUUCUCAGACAUGAAUUUUAGAUGGUGGUCGCCCCAAUGUCCCAGCAAUUUUACAUGUUGGAUGUCACGACGUGUCCGGCACCUCCGAUCAAGGUACAUAAGUGAUCAUUGUUGGUAUUAUGAUAUAUUCAGGUGCCUGACGCCUCUGAUAAAAAAUACUGAUAUAUUCUAGGGUUUGAAAAUGGCAGGGAUAAUCAUAUACAAGGCACAUAUAUAUCUGGAUUAUACAAGGCACACAUAUAUCUGGAUUAUGUAAUGAUCGAAUCACAUGCAUAUAUAUACGACAUUACCAUGUCUUAGAUUUCAUAUGCACAUAAAUGCUAGAAAUAAAAGAAAAUACAUAUAUUUGAAAUAAUGAAGGGCAUCAACUGGGAGAUAUAUAUGAUUUAAACCAUAGCAACGGCUACUUUCUACACUUUAAUGUCCAUACAUUGACAUGUCAGGGCUUCUGUUAGCCUUAGCCACAUUUGGUGACAAGGAACACUUGGCCUAAAUAUAGCUAUAUAUCAAAGUUAGAUACGAGUGAAACAUGCUCCAAACAUUCAUGCAAGUGUGUAUGUCCAUUAAAAAAGCAAUUAAAUACUCCCUCCAAUCAAAUUAAUUGACGCAACCUCAAGAAAAAAGAUCAAGUAGAUUUGUAUACAUAUUCAUGAAAAUAUGUUGAGUUACGUCAGAGCCUUUGGAAUAACAAUAUUAAAAUCAAUGUAAAUAGGGAUAUAACUAAUCAAGAAAAACAAUGGUAAAAAUUAAAUAAGUAUUAUUAGAGUGUAUCACCACGAAACAAUUUAGUGACUGCUUAUGAUUCUCUAAUACUAAAUUUUGUAGUCUUUAAAUUGCUAGCCAGGUGCACGGGUUGACGACUAGUUAGUAUAAUGUUCAGCACUUAUCCGAGAUCAGGCGAGGCAUGCAGAGAGUGAGUGAUGUGGUGUACUGCUCUUCUCUGCGUAUCUGAUCAAGUAAUCAUCAUGUAUCCAGCCAGUAAUCUUGAACUAAUUAUAACUUGCGUUUGUCCAACUUAGGUUCACCUGCCAUCGCCCAUUUUGCAUGUUCUUGUUUGUGGUUAUCAUUUGACAUGUGGCAGUGUCAGAGCAUGCAGAAGACCGAAAUAACUCUGCAUCCUUUGACCCCCUAAUCCUCCCCUGUUUUGCGAUGCACAUCGGGAUCAUGCCACCUCACUCGUUAAAUCUUUUGAUAAGGUUUAAUAGCCACAUUAGGAAAGUUUUUAAAGAAAAAAUAAUAAUUCUCAUAGCACUCGUGCAUCUAUACCAACUAGUAGUAAAUAUGUACGUGCAAUGCACGUUGAUAUUAUGUAAUAUAUUAAUUACACAUAAAUAUUAGGUAGGAUAUUAUUUGCAUAUUAAGUAUGUGAUUAGCAUUGAUAUUAAUAUUGUUGGGAAUCGUAGCAUAAUUUUAAAAUUUUCCUACGCUCACCAAGAUGCAUCUACGGAGUGUACUAGCAACGAGGGGAAGGGACUGCAUCUACAUACCCUUGUAGAUCGCGAGCGGAAGCGUUCCAAUGAAUGUGGAUGACGGAGUAGUACUCGCCGUGAUCCAAAUCACCGAUGACCGAGUGCCGAACGGACGGCACCUCCGCGUUCAACACACGUACGGUGCAGCGACGUCUCCUCCGUCUUGAUCCAGCAAGGGGUUAUGAGAGGUUGAUGGAGAUCCAACAGCACGACGGCGUGGUGGUGGAUGUAGCGGGUCUCCGGCAGGGCUUCGCCGAGCUUCUGCGAGAGAGAGAGAGAGGUGUUGCAGGGGAGGAGGGAGGCGCCCAAAGCUGUAGGUUGCUGCCCUCCCUCCCCCCUUUAUAUAGGCCCCCUUGGGAGGGGGGGCGGCCAAAACCCAUCUAGGGUUGGGGGGGGCGGCGGCCAAGGGGUGGAAAGGGGUGCCUUGCCCCCCAAGGCAAGGGGGAAGCUCCCCCCUAGGGUUCCCAACCCUAGGCGCAUGGGGGGAGGCCCAAGGGGGGCGCCCCAGCCCACUAAGGGCUGGUUCCCUUCCACUUUCAGCCCACGGGGCCCUCCGGGACAGGUGGCCCCACCCGGUGGACCCCCGGGACCCUUCCGGUGGUCCCGGUACAAUACCGGUAACCCCCGAAACUUUCCCGGUGGCCGAAACUUGACUUCCUAUAUAUAAUUCUUCACCUCCGGACCAUUCCGGAACCUCUCAUGACGUCCGGGAUCUCAUCCGGGACUCCGAACAACUUUCGGGUUUCCGCAUACAUAUAUCUCUACAACCCUAGCGUCACCGGACCUUAAGUGUGUAGACCCUACGGGUUCGGGAGACAUGCAGACAUGACCGAGACGCCUCUCCGGUCAAUAACCAACAGCGGGAUCUGGAUACCCAUGUUGGCUCCCACAUGUUCCACGAUGAUCUCAUCGGAUGAACCACGGUGUCGAGGAUUCAAUCAAUCCGUAUGCAAUUCCCUUUGUCAAUCGGUAUGUUACUUGCCCGAGAUUCGAUCGUCGGUAUCCCAAUACCUUGUUCAAUCUCGUUACCGGCAAGUCUCUUUACUCCUACCGCAAUGCAUGAUCCCGUGACUAACGCCUUAGUCACAUUGAGCUCAUUAUGAUGAUGCAUUACCGAGUGGGCCCAGAGAUACCUCUCCGUCACACGGAGUGACAAAUCCCAGUCUCGAUCCGUGCCAACCCAACAGACACUUUCGGAGAUACCCGUAGUGCACCUUUAUAGUCACCCAGUAACGUUGUGACGUUUGGCACACCCAAAGCACUCCUACGGUAUCCGGGAGUUGCACGAUCUCAUGGUCUAAGGAAAAGAUACUUGACAUUGGAAAAGCUCUAGCAAACGAAACUACACGAUCUUUUAUGCUAUGCUUAGGAUUGGGUCUUGUCCAUCACAUCAUUCUCCUAAUGAUGUGAUCCCGUAAUCAAUGACAUCCAAUGUCCAUAGUCAGGAAACCAUGACUAUCUGUUGAUCAACGAGCUAGUCAACUAGAGGCUUACUAGGGACACGUUGUGGUCUAUGUAUUCACACACGUAUUACGAUUUCCGGACAAUACAAUUAUAGCAUGAAUAAUAGACGAUUAUCAUGAACAAAGAAAUAUAAUAAUAACCUUUUAUUAUUGCCUCUAGGGCAUAUUUCCAACAGUCUCCCACUUGCACUAGAGUCAAUAAUCUAGUUACAUUGUGAUGAAUCGAACACCCAUUGCGUCCUGGUGUUGAUCAUGUUUUGCCCUAGGGAGAGGUUUAGUCAACGGAUCUGCUACAUUCAGGUCCGUAUGUACUUUACAAAUAUCUAUGUCUCCAUUUUGAACACUUUCACGAAUGGAGUUGAAGCGACGCUUGAUAUGCCUGGUCUUCCUGUGAAACCUGGGCUCCUUCGCAAGGGCAAUAGCUCCAGUGUUGUCACAGAAGAGAGUCAUUGGGCCCGACGCAUUGGGAAUCACCCCUAGGUCGGUAAUGAACUCCUUCAUCCAGACUGCUUCCUGUGCUGCCUCCGAGGCUGCCAUGUACUCCGCUUCACAUGUAGAUCCCGCGACGACGCUUUGCUUGCAACUGCACCAGCUUACUGCUCCUCCAUUCAAAAUAUACACGUAUCCAGUCUGUGACUUCGAGUCAUCCAGAUCUGUGUCGAAGCUAGCGUCGACGUAACCCUUUACGACGAGCUCUUCGUCACCUCCAUAAACGAGAAACAUAUCCUUAGUCCUCUUCAGGUACUUCAGGAUAUUCUUGACCGCUGUCCAGUGUUCCUUGCCGGGAUUACUUUGGUACCUUCCUACCAAACUUACGGCAAGGUUUACAUCAGGUCUGGUACACAGCAUGGUAUACAUAAUAGACCCUAUGGCCGAGGCAUAGGGGAUGACACUCAUCUCUUCUAUAUCUUCUGCCGUGGUCGGGCAUUGAGCCGUGCUCAAUUGCACACCUUGCAAUACAGGCAAGAACCCCUUCUUGGACUGAUCCAUACUGAACUUCUUCUAUAUCUUGUCAAGGUAUGUACUCUGUGAAAGACCAAUGAGGCGUCUUGAUCUAUCUCUAUAGAUCUUGAUGCCUAAUAUAUAAGCAGCUUCUCCAAGGUCCUUCAUUGAAAAACACUUAUUCAAAUAGGCAUUUAUACUUUCCAAGAAUUCUAUAUCAUUUCCCAUCAAUAAUAUGUCAUCCACAUAUAAUAUGAGAAAUGCUAUGUAGCUCCCACUCACUUUCUUGUAAACACAGGCUUCUCCAUAAGUCUGUGUAAACCCAAACGCUUUGAUCAUCUCAUCAAAGCGAAUGUUCCAACUCCGAGAUGCUUGCACCAGCCCAUAGAUUGAGCGCUGGAGCUUGCAUACUUUGUUAGCAUUCUUAGGAUCGACAAAACCUUCCGGCUGCAUCAUAUACAACUCUUCCUUAAGGAAGCCGUUAAGGAAUGCCGUUUUGACGUCCAUCUGCCAUAUCUCAUAAUCAUAGUAUGCGGCAAUUGCUAACAUGAUUCGGACGGACUUCAGCUUCGCUACGGGUGAGAAAGUCUCAUCGUAGUCAACCCCUUGAACUUGUCGAUAACCCUUAGCGACAAGUCGAGCUUUGUAGAUGGUCACAUUACCAUCCGCGUCCGUCUUCUUCUUAAAGAUCCAUUUGUUUUCUAUGGCUCGCCGCUCAUCGGGCAAGUCAGUCAAAGUCCAUACUUUGUUUUCAUACAUGGAUUCUAUCUCGGAUUUCAUGGCUUCUAGCCAUUUGUCGGAAUCCGGGCCUGCCAUCGCUUCUUCAUAGUUCGAAGGUUCACCGUUGUCUAACAACAUGAUUUCCAGGACAGGGUUGCCGUACCACUCUGGUGCGGAACGUGUCCUUGUGGACCUACGAAGUUCAGUAACUUGAUCCGAAGCUUCAUGAUUAUCAUCAUUUACUUCCUCCCCAGUCGGUGCAGGCAUCACAGGAACAUUUUCCCGCGCUGCGCUACUUUCCGGUUCGGAAGGGGUGACUAUCACCUCAUCAAGUUCCACUUUCCUCCCACUCAAUUCUUUCAAGAGAAACUCCUUCUCCAGAAAGGACCCGUUCUUGGCAACUAAGAUCUUGCCUUCGGAUCUGAGGUAGAAGGUAUACCCAAUAGUUUCCUUAGGGUAUCCUAUGAAGACGCAUUUUUCCGAUUUGGGUUCGAGCUUUUCAGGUUGAAGUUUCUUGACAUAAGCAUCGCAUCCCCAAACUUUUAGAAACGACAGCUUAGGUUUCUUACCAAACCAUAAUUCAUACGGUGUCGUCUCAACGAAUUUCGACGGAGCCCUAUUUAAAGUGAAUGCGGCAGUCUCUAAAGCAUAACCCCAAAAUGAGAGCGGUAAAUCGGUAAGAGACAUCAUAGAUCGCACCAUAUCCAAUAGAGUGCGAUUACGACGUUCGGACACACCAUUUCUCUGAGGUGUUCCAGGCGGCGUGAGUUGUGAAACUAUUCCACAUUUCCUUAAGUGUGCACCAAACUCGUGACUUAAAUAUUCUCCACCACGAUCUGAUCGUAGGAAUUUUAUUCUCCUGUCACGUUGAUUCUCAACCUCACUCUGAAAUUCUUUGAACUUUUCAAAGGUUUCAGACUUGUGUUUCAUCAGGUAGACAUAUCCAUAUCUACUUAAAUCAUCAGUGAGAGUGAGAACAUAAUGAUAUCCUCCGCGAGCCUCAACACUCAUUGGACCACACACAUCGGUAUGUAUGAUUUUCAAUAAGUUGGUUGCUCGCUCCAUUGUUCCGGAGAACGGAGUCUUGGUCAUCUUACCCAUGAGGCAUGGUUCGCACGUGUCAAAUGAUUCGUAAUCAAGAGACUCCAAAAGUCCAUCUGCAUGGAGCUUCUUCAUGCGCUUGACACCAAUAUGACCAAGGCGGCAGUGCCACAAGUAUGUGGGACUAUCGUUAUCAACUUUACAUCUUUUGGUAUUCACACUAUGAACAUGUGUAACAUCACGUUCGAGAUUCAUCAAAAAUAAACCAUUGACCAGCGGGGCAUGACCAUAAAACAUAUCUCUCAAAUAAAUAGAACAACCAUUAUUCUCGGAUUUAAAUGAGUAGCCAUCUCGAAUUAAACGAGAUCCAGAUACAAUGUUCAUGCUCAAAGCUGGCACUAAAUAACAAUUAUUGAGGUUUAAAACUAAUCCCGUGGGUAGAUGCAGAGGUAGCGUGCCGACGGCGAUCACAUCGACCUUGGAACCAUUCCCGACGCGCAUCGUCACCUCGUCCUUCGCCAGUCUUCGUUUAUUCCGUAGUUCCUGUUUUGAGUUACAAAUAUGAGCAACCGCACCGGUAUCAAAUACCCAGGAGCUACUACGAGUACUGGUAAGGUACACAUCAAUUACAUGUAUAUCACAUAUACCUUUGGUGUUGCCGGCCUUCUUGUCCGCUAAGUAUUUGGGGCAGUUCCGCUUCCAGUGACCACUUCCCUUGCAAUAAAAGCACUCAGUCUCAGGCUUGGGUCCAUUCUUUGACUUCUUCCCGGUAACUGGCUUACCGGGCGCGGCAACUCCCUUGCCGUCCUUCUUGAAGUUCUUCUUACCCUUGCCCUUCUUGAACUUAGUGGUUUUAUUCACCAUCAACACUUGAUGUUCUUUUCUGAUCUCCACCUCCGCUGAUUUCAGCAUCGAAUAUACCUCAGGAAUGGUCUUUUCCAUCCCCUGCAUAUUGAAGUUCAUCACAAAGCUCUUGUAGCUUGGUGGAAGCGACUGAAGGAUUCUGUCAAUGACCGCGUCAUCCGGGAGAUUAACUCCCAGCUGAGACAAGCGGUUGUGUAACCCAGACAUUCUGAGUAUGUGCUCACUAACAGAACUAUUCUCCUCCAUUUUACAGCUGAAGAACUUGUCAGAGACUUCAUAUCUCUCGACCCGGGCAUGAGCUUGGAAAACCAUUUUCAGCUCUUCGAACAUCUCAUAUGCUCCAUGCUUCUCAAAACGCUUUUGGAGCCCCGGUUCUAAGCUGUAAAGCAUGCCGCACUGAACGAGGGAGUAAUCAUCAGCACGUGAUUGCCAAGCGUUCAUAACGUCUUGGUUCUCUAGGAUUGGUGCUUCACCUAGCGGUGCUUCUAGGACAUAAUCUUUCUUGGCUGCUAUGAGGAUGAUCCUCAGGUUCCGGACCCAGUCCGUAUAGUUGCUGCCAUCAUCUUUCAGCUUGGUUUUCUCUAGGAACGCGUUGAAGUUGAGGACAACGUGGGCCAUUUGAUCUACAAGACAUAUUGUAAAGAUUUUAGACUAAGUUCAUGAUAAUUAAGUUCAUAUAAUCAAAUUAUUCAAUGAACUCCCACUCAGAUAGACAUCCCUCUAGUCAUCUAAGUGAAACAUGAUCCGAGUUAACUAGGCCGUGUCCGAUCAUCACGUGAGACGGACUAGUCAAGAUCUUCGUCACCUCCAUAAACGAGAAACAUAUCCUUAGUCCUCUUCAGGUACUUCAGGAUAUUCUUGACCGCUGUCUAGUGUUCCAUGCCGGGAUUACUUUGGUACCUUCCUACCAAACUUACGGCAAGGUUUACAUCAGGUCUGGUACACAGCAUGGCAUACAUAAUAGACCCUAUGGCCGAGGCAUAGGGGAUCACACUCAUCUUUUCUCUAUCUUCUGCCGUGGUCGGGCAUUGAGCCGUGCUCAACUGCACACCUUGCAAUACAGGCAAGAACCCCUUCUUGGACUGAUCCAUAUUGAACUUCUUCAAUAUCUUGUCAAGGUAUGUACUCUGUGAAAGACCAAUGAGGCGUCUUGAUCUAUCCCUAUAGAUCUUGAUGCCUAAUAUAUAAGCAGCUUCUCCAAGGUCCUUCAUUGAAAAACACUUAUUCAAAUAGGCCUUUAUACUUUCCAAGAAUUCUAUAUCAUUUCCCAUCAUAGUAUUUCAUCCACAUAUAAUAUGAGAAAUGCUACAGAGCUCCCACUCACUUUCUUGUAAACACAGGCUUCUCCAUAAGUCUGUGUAAACCCAAACGCUUUGAUCAUCUCAUCAAAGCGAAUGUUCCAACUCCGAGAUGCUUGCACCAGCCCAUAGAUUGAGCGUUGGAGCUUGCAUACUUUGUUAGCAUUCUUAGGAUCGACAAAACCUUCCGGCUGCAUCAUAUACAACUCUUCCUUAAGGAAGCCGUUAAGGAAUGCCGUUUUGACGUCCAUCUUCCAUAUCUCAUAAUCAUAGUAUGCAGCAAUUGCUAACAUGAUUCAGACGGACUUCAGCUUCGCUACGGGUGAGAAAGUCUCAUCGUAGUCAACCCCUUGAACUUGUCGAUAACCCUUAGCGACAAGUCGAGCUUUGUAGAUGCUCACAUUACCAUCCGCGUCCGUCUUCUUCUUAAAGAUCCAUUUGUUUUCUAUGGCUCGCCGCUCAUCGGGCAAGUCAGUCAAAGUCCAUACUUUGUUUUCAUACAUGGAUUCUAUCUCGGAUUUCAUGGCUUCUAGCCAUUUGUCGGAAUCCGGGCCCGCCAUCGCUUCUUCAUAGUUUGAAGGUUCACCGUUGUCUAACAACAUGAUUUCCAGGACAGGGUUGCCGUACCACUCUGGUGCGGAACGUGUCCUUGUGGACCUACGAAGUUCAGUAACUUGAUCCGAAGCUUCAUGAUCAUCAUCAUUAACUUCCUCCCCAGUCGGUGUAGGCACCACAGGAACAUUUUCCCGCGCUGCGCUACUUUCCGGUUCGGAAGGGGUGACUAUCACCUCAUCAAGUUCCACUUUCCUCCCACUCAAUUCUUUCGAGAGAAACUCCUUCUCUAGAAAGGACCCAUUCUUGGCAACGAAGAUCUUGCCUUCGGAUCUGAGGUAGAAGGUGUACCCAAUAGUUUCCUUAGGGUAUCCUAUGAAGACGCAUUUUUCCGAUUUGGGUUCGAGCUUUUCAGGUUGAAGUUUCUUGACAUAAGCAUCGCAUCCCCAAACUUUUAGAAACGACAGCUUAGGUUUCUUCCCAAACCAUAAUUCAUACGGUGUCGUCUCAACGGAUUUCGACGGAGCCCUAUUUAAAGUGAAUGCGGCAGUCUCUAAAGCAUAACCCCAAAAUGAGAGCGGUAAAUCGGUAAGAGACAUCAUAGAUCGCACCAUAUCCAAUAGAGUGCGAUUACGACGUUCGGACACACCAUUUCUCUGAGGUGUUCCAGGCGGCGUGAGUUGUGAAACUAUUCCACAUUUCCUUAAGUGUGCACCAAACUCGUGACUUAAAUAUUCUCCACCACGAUCUGAUCGUAGGAAUUUUAUUUUCCUGUCACGUUGAUUCUCAACUUCACUCUGAAAUUCCUUGAACUUUUCAAAGGUUUCAGACUUGUGUUUCAUUAGGUAGACAUACCCAUAUCUACUUAAAUCAUCAGUGAGAGUGAGAACAUAACGAUAUCCUCCGCGAGCCUCAACACUCAUUGGACCACACACAUCGGUAUGUAUGAUUUCCAAUAAGUUGGUUGCUCGCUCCAUUGUUCCGGAGAACGGAGUCUUGGUCAUCUUACCCAUGAGGCAUGGUUCGCACGUGUCAAAUGAUUCGUAAUCAAGAGACUCCAAAAGUCCAUCUGCAUGGAGCUUCUUCAUGCGCUUGACACCAAUGUGACCAAGGCGGCAGUGCCACAAGUAUGUGGGACUAUCGUUAUCAACUUUACAUCUUUUGGUAUUCACACUAUGAACAUGUGUAACAUCACGUUCGAGAUUCAUCAAAAAUAAACCAUUGACCAGCGGGGCAUGACCAUAAAACAUCUCUCUCAAAUAAAUAGAACAACCAUUAUUCUCGGAUUUAAAUGAGUAGCCAUCUCGAAUUAAAUGAGAUCCAGACACAAUGUUCAUGCUCAAAGCUGGCACUAAAUAACAAUUAUUGAGGUUUAAAACUAAUCCCGUGGGUAGAUGCAGAGGUAGCGUGCCGACGGCGAUCACAUCGACCUUGGAACCAUUCCCGACGCGCAUCGUCACCUCGUCCUUUGCCAGUCUCCGUUUAUUCCGUAGUUCCUGCUUUGAGUUACAAAUAUGAGCAACCGCACCGGUAUCAAAUACCCAGGAGCUACUACGAGUACUGGUAAGGUACACAUCAAUUACUUGUAUAUCACAUAUACCUUGGGUGUUGCCGGCCUUCUUCUUGUCCGCUAAAUAUUUGGGGCAGUUCCGCUUCCAGUGACCACUUCCCUUGCAAUAAAAGCACUCAGUCCCGGGCUUGGGUCCAUUCUUUGACUUCUUCCCAGUAACUGGUUUACCGGGCGCGGCAACUCCCUUGCCGUCCUUCUUGAAGUUCUUCUUACCCUUGCCCUUCUUGAACUUGGUGGCUUUAUUCACCAUCAACACUUGAUGUUCUUUUCUGAUCUCCCCUUCCGCUGAUUUCAGCAUUGAAUAUACCUCGGGAAUGGUCUUUUCCAUCCCCUGCAUAUUGUAGUUCAUCACAAAGCUCUUGUAGCUUGGUGGAAGCGACUGGAGGAUUCUGUCAAUGACCGCGUCAUCCGGGAGAUUAACUCCCAGCUGAGACAAGCGGUUGUGCAACCCAGACAUUCUGAGUAUGUGCUCACUAACAGAACUGUUCUCCUCCAUUUUACAUCUGAAGAACUUGUCGGAGACAUCAUAUCUCUCAACCCGGGCAUGAGCUUGAAAAACCAGUUUCAGCUCCUCGAACAUCUCAUAUGCUCCAUGUUUCUCAAAACGCUUUUGGAGACCCGGCUCUAAGCUGUAAAGCAUGCCGCACUGAACGAGGGAGUAAUCAUCAACACGUGAUUGCCAAGCGUUCAUAACGUCUUGGUUCUGUGGGAUUGGUGCAUCACCUAGCGGUGCUUCUAAGACAUAAUCUUUCUUGGCUACUAUAAGGAUGAGCCUCAGGUUCCGGACCCAGUCCGUAUAGUUGCUGCCAUCAUCUUUCAGCUUGGUUUUCUCUAGGAACGCGUUGAAAUUGAGGACAACGUUGUCCAUUUGAUCUACAAGACAUAGUGUAAAGAUUUUAGACUAAGUUCAUGAUAAUUGAGUUCAUCUAAUCAAAUUAUUUAAUGAACUCCCACUCAGAUAGACAUCCCUCUCGUCAUCUAAGUGAAACAUGAUCCGAGUUUAACUAGGCCGUGUCCGAUCAUCACGUGAGACGGACUAGUCAAGAUCGGUGAACAUCUCCAUGUUGAUCGCAUCUUCUAUACUACUCAUGCUCGACCUUUCGGUCCUCCGUGUUCCGAGGCCAUGUCUGUACAUGCUAGGCUCGUCAAGUCAACCUAAGUGUAUUGCGUGUGUUCCGAGGCCAUGUCUGUACAUGCUAGGCUCGUCAAGUCAACCUAAGUGUAUUGCGUGUGUUCCGAGGCCAUGUCUGUACAUGCUAGGCUCGUCAAGUCAACCUAAGUGUAUUGCGUGUGUUCCGAGGCCAUGUCUGUACAUGCUAGGCUCGUCAACACCCGUUGUAUUCGAACGUUAGAAUCUAUCACACCCGAUCAUCACGUGGUGCUUCGAAACAACGAACCUUCGCAACGGUGCACAGUUAGGGUGAACACUUUCUUGAAAUUAUUCUAAGGGAUCAUCUUACUUACUACCGUCGUUCUAAGCAAAUAAGAUGCAAAAACAUGAUAAACAUCACAUGCAAUCAAAUAGUGACAUGAUAUGGCCAAUAUCAUUAUGCUCCUUUGAUCUCCAUCUUCGGGGCACCAUGAUCAUCUUCGUCACCGGCAUGACACCAUGAUCUCCAUCAUCAUGAUAUCCAUCAUUGUGUCUUCAUGAAGUCGUCACGCCAACGAUUACUUCUACUUCUAUGGCUAACGCGUUUAGCAACAGAGUAAAGUAAUUUACAUGGCGUUAUUCAAUGACACGCAGGUCAUGCAAAAUAAUAAAGACAACUCCUAUGGCUCCUGCCGGUUGUCAUACUCAUCGACAUGCAAGUCGUGAUUCCUAUUACAAGAAUAUGAUCAAUCUCAUACAUCACAUAUAUCAUUCAUCACAUCUUCUGGCCAUAUCACAUCACAUAGCACUUGCUGCAAAAACAAGUUAGACGUCCUCUAAUUGUUGUUGCAAGUUUUUACGUGGUUUGUAGGUUUCUAGCAAGAACGUUUCUUACCUACGUAUGACCACAACGUGAUUUGCCAAUUUCUAUUUACCCUUCAUAAGGACCCUUUUCAUCGAAUCCGUUCCGACAAAAGUAGGAGAGACAGACACCCGCUAGCCACCUUAUGCAACUAGUGCAUGUCAGUCGGUGGAACCUGUCUCACGUAAGUGUACGUGUAAGGUCGGUCCGGGCCGCUUCAUCCUACAAUACCGCCGAAACAAGAAAAGACUAGUAGCGGCAAGAAGAAUUGGCAAACUCAACGCCCACAACUGCUUUGUGUUCUACUCGUGCAUAGUAACUACGCAUAGGCCUGGCUCAUGAUGCCACUGUUGGGAAUCGUAGCAUAAUUUUAAAAUUUUCCUACGCUCACCAAGAUGCAUCUAUGGAGUGUACUAGCAACGAGGGGAAGGGAGUGCAUCUACAUACCCUUGUAGAUCGCGAGCGGAAGCGUUCCAAUGAAUGUGGAUGACGGAGUAGUACUCGCCGUGAUCCAAAUCACCGAUGACCGAGUGCCGAACGGACGGCACCUCCGCGUUCAACACACGUACGGUGCAGCGACGUCUCCUCCGUCUUGAUCCAGCAAGGGGUUAGGAGAGGUUGAUGGAGAUCCAACAGCAUGACGGCGUGGUGGUGGAUGUAGCGGGUCUCCGGCAGGGCUUCGCCGAGUUUCUGCGAGAGAGAGAGAGAGGUGUUGCAGGGGAGGAGGGAGGCGCCCAAAGCUGUAGGUUGCUGCCCUCCCUCCCCCCCCUUUAUNNNNNNNNNNNNNNNNNNNNNNNNNNNNNNNNNNNNNNNNNNNNNNNNNNNNNNNNNNNNNNNNNNNNNNNNNNNNNNNNNNNNNNNNNNNNNNNNNNNNNNNNNNNNNNNNNNNNNNNNNNNNNNNNNNNNNNNNNNNNNNNNNNNNNNNNNNNNNNNNNNNNNNNNNNNNNNNNNNNNNNNNNNNNNNNNNNNNNNNNNNNNNNNNNNNNNNNNNNNNNNNNNNNNNNNNNNNNNNNNNNNNNNNNNNNNNNNNNNNNNNNNNNNNNNNNNNNNNNNNNNNNNNNNNNNNNNNNNNNNNNNNNNNNNNNNNNNNNNNNNNNNNNNNNNNNNNNNNNNNNNNNNNNNNNNNNNNNNNNNNNNNNNNNNNNNNNNNNNNNNNNNNNNNNNNNNNNNNNNNNNNNNNNNNNNNNNNNNNNNNNNNNNNNNNNNNNNNNNNNNNNNNNNNNNNNNNNNNNNNNNNNNNNNNNNNNNNNNNNNNNNNNNNNNNNNNNNNNNNNNNNNNNNNNNNNNNNNNNNNNNNNNNNNNNNNNNNNNNNNNNNNNNNNNNNNNNNNNNNNNNNNNNNNNNNNNNNNNNNNNNNNNNNNNNNNNNNNNNNNNNNNNNNNNNNNNNNNNNNNNNNNNNNNNNNNNNNNNNNNNNNNNNNNNNNNNNNNNNNNNNNNNNNNNNNNNNNNNNNNNNNNNNNNNNNNNNNNNNNNNNNNNNNNNNNNNNNNNNNNNNNNNNNNNNNNNNNNNNNNNNNNNNNNNNNNNNNNNNNNNNNNNNNNNNNNNNNNNNNNNNNNNNNNNNNNNNNNNNNNNNNNNNNNNNNNNNNNNNNNNNNNNNNNNNNNNNNNNNNNNNNNNNNNNNNNNNNNNNNNNNNNNNNNNNNNNNNNNNNNNNNNNNNNNNNNNNNNNNNNNNNNNNNNNNNNNNNNNNNNNUACCGGCAAGUCUCUUUACUCCUACCGCAAUGCAUGAUCCCGUGACUAACGCCUUAGUCACAUUGAGCUCAUUAUGAUGAUGCAUUACCGAGUGGGCCCAGAGAUACCUCUCCGUCACACGGAGUGACAAAUCCCAGUCUCGAUCCGUGCCAACCCAACAGACACUUUCGGAGAUACCCGUAGUGCACCUUUAUAGUCACCCAGUAACGUUGUGACGUUUGGCACACCCAAAGCACUCCUACGGUAUCCGGGAGUUGCACGAUCUCAUGGUCUAAGGAAAAGAUACUUGACAUUGGAAAAGCUCUAGCAAACGAAACUACACGAUCUUUUAUGCUAUGCUUAGGAUUGGGUCUUGUCCAUCACAUCAUUCUCCUAAUGAUGUGAUCCCGUAAUCAAUGACAUCCAAUGUCCAUAGUCAGGAAACCAUGACUAUCUGUUGAUCAACGAGCUAGUCAACUAGAGGCUUACUAGGGACACGUUGUGGUCUAUGUAUUCACACACGUAUUACGAUUUCCGGACAAUACAAUUAUAGCAUGAAUAAUAGACGAUUAUCAUGAACAAAGAAAUAUAAUAAUAACCUUUUACUAUUGCCUCUAGGGCAUAUUUCCAACAAAUAUUUGGUAUGAUAUUAACUGCACACUAAACGUGUUGAGCGCUCACCAUUGGAGCAGCCUGAGUCGUUGGAUUGACCUGAUUUGAUGGCCGGAAUUUGUUGGAUCUGUCCCUUUGGGUCUUUUAUAUUGUUUUGAUAUAGAUAUAUAAACGACACAAAGGACGGAUCCAACAAAACCGGCCAUCAAACCAGGUCAAUCCAAUGACUCAUAUUGCUCCGAUGGUGAGCACUCAACAUGUUUAGCUUGUAGUUAAUAUCAUAUCAAAUUCCAUUUUCAGCACAAAUCACGUAAUUAACACGCAAAUAAUAUACUAUUUAAUAUCUACGCGCAAUUAAUAUACUGCCUAAUAUCAACUUGCAUUGCACAUACAAAUUACAAGUUCCAACAAAGGAGAGAACCAGAGCAUGACGUACGCAUAUGACAUUUCCCCGAUGUUGAUCAUCAUCAUCAACUCUACAUCAUCGUCGUCCAAUUCCGAUGAAUCGAUGAACUCUUUUUGAAUGAACCCAUCAAACUCCUUGUCUUUAUACUCCCCACCCGACGAGCUCGACGAAUCCAUCAUUUUACCUACAAAAGAAUCCAAACAAACUGCACGGACAUUAUCGAACACAUAGAGGGUAAGGUGUAGACGGGAGGAACAGGACGUACCGCGGCGGCGAGAAUGGUGGGUUGGAGUUUUGUGGCAGUGAUGCCAAUGUUGAGAACGGCGACGAAGCUAGGGAAGGGCUGGACGGACGAGGCAGAAGAGAGGAGAGAAAAAGGGCAGGUUGGACUAGGUUGGGGCGAUUUGACGGAAUUUGUGGUGUGUCCCGUCUGUCAGAUCCGACACAGCGGACGACGCAUCCAUGCCUUCCUAUAUCCGCCCCAGAUAUAGGCUGGAUGUGAAGGGUGUCGGUCCGCCCUGACGUAUAGGACCGGUUUGAGGUUGGUUGCUAUUUCUUGGUCGGUAAUAAGUGACCGGACCAUCCGCCCGGACAUAUAGGGUUAAUAUAGGGGGUUCAGUUGUAGAUGAUGCUAAAGUCUCGUGCUUGACCGGACAUAUAGAACCGGUUUGAGGGAGCCGGCUGGGUUGCUAUUUUUGCCGGUGACCGGACCGUCUGCUCGGACAUAUAGGGUCAAUAUAAGAGUCUGGUUGUAGAUGCUCUAAGCAUGUUGCAAUUAUAAAAUUCAGCCCAAAUGAGUAUAGCGCAUAGUUAUACCUAGCUCAAAUAAAUUUAAAUUUGAAACUCGAUUGAAAAUUUUGAACGGCAUCCACUUGGUAUUUUUCGGUACAGGUGUUUCUCACCCCCUCUUUGUGUUCUUUAUGGUAUUGCGAAAACCUUGGUGAGGGUCAAGAUCCACGGCGACGGGAUAUCUACAGUGGUGGUGCGAGCAGUGACGUGGCUAGCCAGUGAAAACCUUUACGUUAUUUCCCCGCAAAAAAGAAAUCUUUACGUUAUUUGAACAGGUGAUCAACUUUAUAUUUCCCCGGAAACAAGGGGAUCAACAAAGGAUUUGCAGCGAACGAACCUAUGGUUGGAUGGUUAGUGGGACAGUAGUAUCCCAGCCCACCAGGAUUCAAAUACUGGUGCUCGCAUUAUUCCUGUAUUUAUUUCAGAAUUUCUGACGAUGAGCUUUCAGUGGGAGGAGACGUUCCCGUCGACGACGGGACGCCUGCGAUGACUUCGUAAAUCUCAAGGUGAUACGCCGGUUUACUCUCUCAAAGAUGCUCAUAGGGAUAGAGUGUACAUGUAUGCGUUUGUAUAUAAGCGUAUGUAUGAGCGCUUGCGUCUGUACAGUUUUAAAAGAAAACAAAGGAUUUGCAGCUAACCGCCCGCGGAAUUGGAUUGCGGUGGGGUUGGCCGAAAACAGGGAUCGCCAACAAAACGGAGGGCACACUCACUCACAUGCUCCUGCUCCUGCUCCUACUCCUAUGAUUCAGCACCUACGCACGAAGACGCUCCCUGCCAACCCGGAUCGAUCGAUGCCUUAUCUUUAUCCAGUUGCAGUGCAGUGGUGAUCAAAAAGUAUAAGAGGCGAGUCACGUGGGAUGGUUUUUAUAUGCGGACCAAGGAGGCGGCGCCACGUGUGCUCUGCCGCAGCAGCAUAGUACCGGCCAUCCCGCCCGCCCGCCGCUCGUCUGAAAACCAGGGUCUCAGCUGAGCUCGCCUUCGUCUCCGCACGCCGGUUUCGCGGUUCCUUGCAGCCUAUAAAGCCGGCCGGAGCACCCAGCUCUGCACCCAUCUCAUCUCAAAGAGACACCACUAUCCAUCUCUCACCACCAACCUCCCUCUCCCUCGCCAAGAUGUCUACGGUGACCCGCGCCUACCUCGACCAGAGGCUCGCCGCCGCCAACCGCUGCUCCAAAGGUAACCAACGACGGCCCGCUCCUAAGGCCAACGCACUCCUGACAUUUUUUUUGCUGCUUUCUCUUUGUGCCGACACUUGACUUGAUCCUGUGACACCGGGCUUACCAUUUAACUCAAACUGCAGAGGCUGCCAUGGCGGGAGCCAAGGCCGCGGCCGUCGCCACUGUCGCCGCCGCAGUCCCCACCGUGAGUAGCCAGCUAGCCAUUCAGUUCCAGAGUUCAUACUUCAUAGCACUUCUCAUGAAUGCGUUACCUGUACUGUAAUUUCAGCUGGCGAGCGUGAGGAUGCUGCCGUGGGCCAAGGCGCACCUGAACCCAACCGGGCAGGCGCUCAUCAUCUCCACCGUCGCCGGGAUGGCCUACUUCAUCGUCGCCGACAAGACCAUCCUCUCCAUGGCCAGGAAGCACUCCUUCGACGACGCGCCGGACCACCUCAAGAACACCUCCUUCCACUAGUUAGAUCCACUAUUAGUAAUGCCCAAUAAACCGUGUAAGCCAAAGUGCAUAGCGUACAGUGAUCAGCAAGGGGGGUCAGGGAUGCUCCCGGAUAGUCUUGUACUGCGAGUGCAAUUGCUCAUUUCGUAAUAUAAUUUUCAUCAUGCAAGUAGCCAUGUACAGUAUGUUUUGAGCUAGCAAUACUGAAUGAUGUACCAGCAUUUGUUUAACCAAUAUUUUCCAACUAUCGUGGCUAUUUUUAUGAAUCAGUCAGAUUGUAUAAAAAGUUAAGCAACCUCAAUCUGACGUUUAGUUUAAUCUUGUUGGCUCGCUGCCACCCACGUGACACAUCGACUUGAUCAGCGAAGAAUAUCUAGUAAACCUCAGAUCCUAGUUUCUACUUAGCAAAUUCACCGACAGUGCCGUUUUGAUCCAAGGUGGUCUCAGAAAGAUGCCAAAAUUUCUCAGAGGAGGGAUAUUUACACACCAUGCAUCAUGUCAAAAACCAGUGUUACAUCAUGUCCAUUCCUUGCUGCCAGUGAUCUCCCCAGAAUAUAUAGUUGUUUAACUAUCAAUAAGUCAGUCCACACAACUUCUUUUUUUGACAAAGGGUGAAUUUUAUUGGCUCAAAAUGAAGCAUCAAGAGGAUACAGAACAUGAUGAGCACACACCCGGCCUCUGCAUAGCUACCGGCAAACUGCAGCAAUGACCAUAUCCGCACCACUCAUCUUAUGACACCAAAUGGACAACGAGAUUCUUCAACAGCAACGCCUUCAGGAAGGGAGUGGCGCUCAAGCGCCGCCGUCACCGGAUCCGACGACUACGGCCAGAAUCUAAGUUUCACCCUGAAGAAUUAGUCCGAACAUAUCCGAGCAAUGCCUUCAACAAGGUAACGACGUAAAAUAACAUCGUCAUUGCCAGGCAUAACCAACUCGGUUUAGACCUGGGCUUUCACCCCGGAGCUCGAGACCGGAUGCAUGAAUAGCACCACCAUCGCAGUCACUUGUGUUGUCUACCACCUCUUUUCCACGAUUCCAACAGCUAAAUGCGAUAUGUGAUCGCAAUCGCUGCACAACCAUCCCUCUGCGUCAAGACGUUAUAUAUAGUUUGCAUCUCACCGCCGAAGUCAACCACCAGAUUUGAAAAGAUGAAGUUGCAUGACAGUCAGUAGCCACCACCACCUGGCCGGUACGAUCCGAAUCACCGCCAUCAAGCACACCAGAUCUCACAACCACGCCGGGUCGCCAGCAUGCCCUGUUCCAAUCUGGUGUAGCAGCAAGAGGGGCCUAUGGCCGGAGGUGGGAUGGUUGUAGCCCUCUUGCCACCCAUGUACUGUAUGCGCCAGGAGCCGAAGUUGGCCGUCCAGCCGCUGCAUGCCCCAGCCAGCGAGAACACAUGAUCCAUCCACCGCUGGCUAGGUGAGGGGACGGAGGAGGUAGCGCAACUCCCAUCAGCAGCAGGACAACGCGAGAGCGGACAGCCUGCCGGAGGCCAUCGCCGAGAGUAGCAUACACGCCCCGCCGCCUCGCUCCAAGCCUAGCAGAACCGACCACUUUGCGCCUUUCGAUGGCCCCACCGCCGCCGGCGCCGGCGGCGGUGAGGGGAGAGGAGGAACCGGUGUAGGCCUUGGGCCGCCGGACUGGGGCGCCCCGGUGCGACUCGCUGGAGUCGCACGGGAGCGCGAUCCCUUUUUUCCGGAAGUUGGUUUAAUAUCAAUCUUAAGUUCUUAACUUCUUGAGUGAACACAACUGAAUCGUCAUGUUCGUGUUCAAUUUGGCAAUUUCCCUGGCGAAUCACAUAUCUUGCUUUGUAUAUGCAUAUGCGAUGUUUUUUUUUCAUGUGUACUUACCUUAUACAAAAAUUUAAGUGAAUGGCAGACAUGGACGGGUCAUGUAUAUAUGUUUUUUUGUCAUGAACACGAUGCCAUUGGUGUGAAAGUGAUCACAAUUUGGUUUACUGAACUUUGUAAUAAAUUAGUGUUAAUAUUUGCACGACACCAAAAUUAUUUCAGAUCUCACCAAAAUCUCCAAAACUUAUAAGAUUUAGAAUUUAAUAUAGAAUUAGUUGGUCUAAAAUUCUUUGGAUUUGAACAACAAUAGUCCAAUUAUGACUUCAAAUUAACUUUGGUUCUGCUGUAGGCCAAAAACAAUUAGGCUAAAAUCCACUUCAAUGAACACUAACAUUACCAAAUUUCGUUUUAACUGAUUAGCACUAAUUGUUUAUCUGUAGAAGAUGAGCCGUUCCCAUUGAAGUUUUUUUACACGGUUCCCAUAGAAGUUAUCCUUGCUACAUAACUUUCUUUUGCGAUUUCAUCCCUACAAGAAGGGUUGGACGCGCUUCGCUUUGCUGUUGUUGGAUUUCACAAAGAUAAUUUUUGGUUUGGCGUGGGAGAAAGAUGAUGGAGUGUUUUUUAAUGUGGUUCUUAGUGGGAUUUGUUGGCGGUGUGAUUAUGUGUUAUCUGCUAAUCAACAAAUACUUAUGUGAGGAUGUUCCGGUUCAAUUUUUUUUUUACUUAUUAUGUGGGGAAGUUUCUUGAGUUGGUAGCCUCAUGUACUAUAUUGGUGCCAUAGUGUCACAUGUCGGCGCUUCUUUUUUUAGAUGGUGAGAGGGUGCACAACACAUGACUAGUGUGCUUCGAUUAAUUUGAGAAAUCAUUGACCCGGUCAAAAUCAUGAAUCAAAUCCAAAAUUAAAUACCUCAACCAAAUGAAAGAGCUUGUUGAGAAAUAGUUGACCUGAUCAAAAUCACAAGUCAAAUUCAGAUUUUAAAACUUCAAUUCAAUAGGAGGGCUCCAAAAUUAAGGAGCAUGAAUGAUAGCUAGUAAAAAACCUUUACGUUAUUUGAACUAGACGAUACCCCGCGCCUUGCUGCGGUAACUUUGUUUAAAAAAAUGCGUAGAUAGUUGCUAAAAAAUAACUACAUCUAAUGAAAAGAAAAUAUUAGUUUGAAAAUCAUUAAAAAAGUCUAUAAAAAUAGAAUAUAAACUUUUGAAUUACUGUUAAAAAUAUCAUUUCGAACAAACAUGUAAAGGAUGACUAACAUGCAUGCAUGAUGUGGCAACGUUAUAUGCAUAGACUAAUGCAAAAAUAAUUGCAAUUUAUUAGUUCGCUUAUGUGGCAGACUUUGCAUGACUUAGUGGGAGAGAAGACUUAAAUGCAUGACCUUAGUGGGGACCUUUGCUUAUGUGGCAGAUUUUGCAUGGCUUAAUAGGAAAGAAAACUUAAAUGCAUGACCUUGUUGAGGACAAUGGGAUGGACACUUUGCAUAUUAAAAGAAUUAGGACCAACUUCUUAAAAACAUAAAAUAAGAUAAGCACUCAACUUUAUAUCACCCCAAAAGGGCUUAGCUUGCACACUGGGGAAUCAUACCAGCCAAACAAUCGAUUUGCAGGGAACCGCUGGCGGCGUAUGGUUGCCGUCGGGUUGGCCGUAAACUUGGAGCGCCCACACCGCACACAUCGCCAACAAAACGGAGGGCACGCUGACAGAUAAUGCUCUCACGCACAUGCUCCUACCCAUACGUGUUAUCCUACUUCGCUCCCUGCCAACCCCGAUCUAGUUGCAGUCUAGUGGUCACCUAAAAGAAACACAGACCAGGCGCGUGGGAUGGUUUUUAUAUGCGGACCAAGAAGGCGGCGCCACCUGUGCUCUGCCGCAGCGCACCACCGCUCGUCUCGAAACCACGUUCUUGCUUCCCACCGUAUCAGCUGAGCUCGCCGUCCUCUCCGCACGUUGAACUCGGCUUUCCACAAACCAUCAAACCCGACGGAAUUCAUCCAAGUUCGAAUAGAAAAUACAUAGCAUGCAAAUAAGUCUAGUAAACAAUAGUUCAAAUUCAACGAGCUUAACCGGAUGUUCAAUAAGCUUUUCAUGAAUGGAUCAUGCCGUCACACAUACUGCGGCUUCAGCUUCAUCCAACAGUGUGGGUACGUAAAAGGUUGUCCCUCUAUCCUAUGGUACAUCAUGGCGGCGCUUACGGGACUAUGUAUAGAGCAACAUUGAGUGAGCGAAUGAUUCAAUUAACAAGUUGAGCAAGAAUUACCAAUGGCCACAUUGCGGUACGAUUUUCUCCACUGCUGCGCCCAAUGGCCACAUUGCCUCCAGCCGAGUAACCGCGUCACAACACUUGGUGAUGGUAGUCUGGACGGCGUACCAUCGAUACGAUAACGACUACACAUUGAGAUCAUGGAUGAUGUGCAUGUCAUGGGGCGCAAUGUACUUUCGCGCGUGAAACGAAUCAUGCACACACUGCCAGAAGAUCCCUCUUCUGCUCCAGCCUACGAACUCCGUGGAUAUGGCCAACCAUGCAUCGCAGAACAACUCAUCCUCCAUGGUCGAGUACCCCCACCAUUCUUUGUGGAAUAAGAAAACAACAUGCCAUUUGAAGAUAAGCUCAAUUACAUUUGACCGAACACCUGCCAGGCAUGGUGUCAGCCAUGGACUUUGUUGACGGGGGGUGGAUUGUGCCUGGCUACAGACGGGUCCUGGGUGGACGGCGCCGUCGUAAAAGGCGAGCGGGCGUGUCGGUGCUGAUUGCGUACGUCUGGCAAUGCCUGUGUGGGGUCCGGAGAGGUACGACAACGUCGAAGAGGAGGAAGCAAUAGGGAGAAAGGGCGGCUUGGAAGAAAAUGUGACCGGGAGGAGAGGGNNNNNNNNNNNNNNNNNNNNNNNNNNNNNNNNNNNNNNNNNNNNNNNNNNNNNNNNNNNNNNNNNNNNNNNNNNNNNNNNNNNNNNNNNNNNNNNNNNNNNNNNNNNNNNNNNNNNNNNNNNNNNNNNNNNNNNNNNNNNNNNNNNNNNNNNNNNNNNNNNNNNNNNNNNNNNNNNNNNNNNNNNNNNNNNNNNNNNNNNNNNNNNNNNNNNNNNNNNNNNNNNNNNNNNNNNNNNNNNNNNNNNNNNNNNNNNNNNNNNNNNNNNNNNNNNNNNNNNNNNNNNNNNNNNNNNNNNNNNNNNNNNNNNNNNNNNNNNNNNNNNNNNNNNNNNNNNNNGGAAAAAGUGCCUCCGGACCGGUCGGCGGACUGAUACACGCAUUGGAUGGCAAAACACGUCCGAACUGCACAAUUCGAAUGUGUGCGGAUGAUUUGAGGGUCGGUGUUCGAGAUGCCCUAAAAUGAGUAUAACGCAUAGUUAUACCUAGCUCAAAUAAAUUUAAUUGAGUUUUAAACUUCCUCUGAGAAUAUUUGAACGGUAUCUAGUCGAUUUUAUUCGGUAGCCGCAUCUUUUGCCCCCUCUUGGCAUUUGUUCAGUAUAUUUGGUAGCCAUUACCUUGGUCGGGGUCGGGAUUCACGACGACGGGAGAUGUACGGUGGUUGUGCGAGCGGUGACGUAGCUAGCUAGUGAAAACCUUUAUGUUAUUUGAACAUGUGACCAACUUUAUAUUUCCCCGCAACCAAGGUGAUGAACGGAGAUGGACCAACAUGUGGUUAGAUGGUUAGGAGGAUAUGAGUAUUCCCAAUCCAUCACGGUUCAAGUCCUAAUAAAUUCAGGAUUUUUAAGGAUGUGUGUUUAGUGAGAGGAGACGUUUCCAUCACACAAGGCGGCUACGGUGACUUCAAGUGAGCGCUUAUGUCUGUAGUGUGUGAUAAAAAAAAGUUGAUCAACGAAGGAUUUGCAGCGAACCACUCGCGGAAUUGGAUUGCUGCCGGGUUGGACGAAAACAGGGAGCGCCCACACAGAUCUCCAACAAAACGGAGGGCACACUCACGCACAAGCGCCUACGUGUUAUCCUACGCACGAACACGCUCCUUGGCUCCUGCCAACCCCGAUCGUUCUUUAUCCAGUUGCGGUGCAGUGGUCAUCUAAAAGUAUCCAGUUUUUAUAUGCGGACCGUCUGUGCUCUGCCGCGUCGCCGGCCAUCACGCCCGCCCUACGCUCGUCUGAAACCCACGGUCUCCGCACGCCGGUUUCGCGGUUUCUUGCAGCCUAUAAAUCCGGCCGGAGCGCCCAGCUCUGCCCCAUCCCAUCUCACACACCACUACUCAUCUUGCCUCACACACUUCACUACUCUGCUCGCAAGUUCACUUCCUUGGGUUCUCGUACCACCAACCUCCCUCGCCAAGAUGUGGACGGUGACCCGCGCCUACCUCGACCAGAGGCUCGCCGCCGCCAAGCGCUGCUCCAGAGGUACUAACCAAAACGAUAUGAUGCAUGGCCCGCCGGUUCACCAUGCCGGCAAUGCUCUUGCCACUCUGUUCUACUCCAGUACAUUGCAGCUUUGUAUACUGUUUGUGCUAAAACUUGGUUGUCAUUAACAUCCCGGUGUUGAUCCGAAACUGCAGAGGCCGCCAUGGCCGGAGCCAAGGCCGCGGCCGUCGCCACCGUCGCUGCCGCAGUCCCCACAGUAAGUAGCCAUUCAGUUCUCCGACGAAAUCCUUCCACGGUUCAUAGAAUGUCUCAUGAAUGCUUUACCUCUAACUUUAGCUGGCGAGCGUGAGGAUGCUGCCGUGGGCGAGGGCGCACCUGAACCCGACCGGGCAGGCCCUCAUCAUCUCCACCGUCGCCGGGAUGGCCUACUUCAUCGUCGCCGACAAGACCAUCCUCUCCAUGGCCAGGAAGCACUCCUUCGACGACGCGCCGGACCACCUCAAGAACACAUCCUUCCACUAAUAAUUCGACUAUAAUAGAUCCAUUAGUAGUGGGUAAUAAUCUGCACGCCGGCCUGGAAGUGUCUGCUGAAAGAUAGUACUGUAAUGUUCAGGCAGCACUUAUCUGAGAUCAGGCGAGGCUUGCAGACAGCCAGUGGCGUAGUACUGCGCUUCUCUGCGCGCAAGAACUUAUCUGAUGAAGUGAUCAUGUAUCCACCCAUUAAUCUUGAAUUAAUAGUAAUAACUUGCGUUUGUACAACUCAGGCUCACCUGCCAUCACCCAUCUUACAUUUAAUUGAUCAUCGUUUGAAAUGGGGCACUGGCAGAGCAUGCACAAGACCGAAACAACACUGCAUACUUCGAUCCCCUACUCCUCCCCUGUUCUGUGAUGGACAUCAGGAUGGCCGGAGGCAGGUGGCUCUGUAGGGUGGCCGGAGUAAUCUUUCACUUCAAAUGUUGUGUACUAGUACUUUCUUGAACAUUUGCAACGAUAAAUCUGACUUUAAAUCACCUCAUUUUAUGUAAUAACAUACAUUUGGUACUCCCUCUGUAAAGAAAUAUAAGAGCGUUUCUUAUAUUCCUUUCCAGAGGUAGCAUUUUCUAUGACUUUUUUAGUUGAAAAAUAAAUAAUAAAAAUAAAAUUGUCAAAAAGUCAACUUUGGCAGUGUCCUAAUAUUGGUACAUGAACUUGUCAUGGAAAUCUCACACGAUUUCUAGAAAGGUAGAAAAACCACUUGAUUAGAAAUUGCCCCUUUUGGCACGGUGUCCGAAUAUUGGUACAUGCUUACUAGUUUUAAACUUUGGGCAAAUUUUGUUAAUAUAGGCCAAAAUGAGUCCAUAAAUAUAGUUUUAGAAGUUCAUAUAAUUGCAGAGCACAAGCAUUCGACCAUUUGAACUACAUUGUUAACCAAAAGGAAACACAACACAUCAACUCCAGCGUAUUAAGAUCCCCAUAAAUUACCACAACUACAAAUUCCUGCAUUUUCCCCUUGUACUUGUGUUCUCGGAGAAUGUAGAAGAAUAAAACAAUGAAAGUGGCACCGUCUUUCUUCUCUUCCUGCAAUUGUGUUCCCAAACUUGCUCAUCUGCAUUUCACUAUGAUGAAGCAGGUCCAGGUCUCUCGCUUGGCAGCAUAGUAGGGUAGGUGUGUGACUCAGUGUUAACCUUGGCCUGGACAUAAAAUUAUGAUAUUAUAGGGUUGGUACUGCAAGGGUUGCUACCAAUCAUUGGAAUUCAGCAGAAUUAGAUGACCGUACAAAUUUGUUCACCCAUCAAUGGCCAACACUGAGAUGGCAAUUUUUUUUGGCAUACACGUACAUGAUAGAGAUAAUGAGGAGAGGGGGGAAUCUAGUUUGCCUGCUGAUGCUAACAGAGGUUCAUUCGAAGAUGUUGAUGGACAGUUGAUGGAAGAUGCUGCAGAUGAUGUUGAUGAUGCACAUGAUGAUGAGAUGAUGAAUGUUUAUGACAAAGAAAACCCUGUUAUUGAAGCGGGGAAGUUGUGGCCAAACAUGGAUGAGUUCAGGAUGUGUUUCAGGACUUAUGCGGUCAAGUAUGAGUUUGAUGCUAAGACUAAGUGGGCUGAUAGAAAGAAGUUUUAUGCGAUGUGCAGAGGAUUUGAUGAAAAUGUCAAGCCUUGCAAGUGGUACAUAUCUGCUAGAUGCCAACCUGAUGGAAGUACCAUCAGGGUUAAUCAAAUUCCACAUCAAUAUACUUGUAUUACAAGAUCACAGAGAGUACCAACCAUGACAUCACACAUUUGGGUUGCAGAAAAGAUCACUCCUGUUUUAGGAAAGAAACCAAACACUACUAUAAAGCAACUUUUAGUACACUUAGAAAUCAGUACCUCAUUAAGCUGAAAUAUACCACCGUGUGGAAGGCAAAAUAAAGGGCAAUGAAGCAAUAAUAUGGUGAUUAUGGCCGCCUCAACGGUGUGUCGCCACAUCGGUUGGAAGGUCAAUCGAGUCUUCUCGUCGCUGCUGUUGAUGUGGCGAAGUAGUGGGUCCUGAAGGAAAUAUGCCCUAGAGGCAAUAAUAAAGUUAUUAUUUAUUUCCUUAUAUCAUGAUAAAUGUUUAUUAUUCAUGCUAGAAUUGUAUUAACCGGAAACAUAAUACAUGUGUGAAUACAUAGACAAACAGAGUGUCACUAGUAUGCCUCUACUUGACUAGCUCGUUAAUCAAAGAUGGUUAUGUUUCCUAGCCAUAGACAUGAGUUGUCAUUUGAUUAACGGGAUCACCUCAUUAAGAGAAUGACGUGAUUGACUUGACCCAUUCCGUUAGCUUAGCACCCGAUCGUUUAGUAUGUUGCUAUUGCUUUCUUCAUAACUUAUACAUGUUCCUAUGACUAUGAGAUUAUGCAACUCCCGUUUACCGGAGGAACACUUUGUGUGCUACCAAACGUCACAACGUAAAUGGGUGAUUAUAAAGGUGCUCUACAGGUGUCUCCAAAGGUACUUGUUGGGUUGGCGUAUUUCGAGAUUAGGAUUUGUCACUCCAAUUGUCGGAGAGGUAUCUCUGGGCCCACUCGGUAAUGCACAUCACUAUAAGCCUUGCAAGCAUUGUGACUAAUGAGUUAGUUGCGGGAUGAUGUAUUACAGAACGAGUAAAGAGACUUGCCGGUAACGAGAUUGAACUAGGUAUCGAGAUACCGACGAUCAAAUCUCGGGCAAGUAACAUACCGGUGACAAAGGGAACAACGUAUGUUGUUAUGCGGUCUGACCGAUAAAGAUCUUCGUAGAAUAUGUGGGAGCCAAUAUGGGCAUCCAGGUCCCGCUAUUGGUUAUUGACCGGAGACGUGUCUCGGUCAUGUCUACAUAGUUCUCGAACCCGUAGGGUCCGCACGCUUAACGUUACGAUGACAGUUUUAUUGAGUUUUGAUGUACCGAAGGAGUUCGGAGUCCCGGAUGAGAUCGGGGAUAUGACGAGAAGUCUCGAAAUGGUCGAGACGUAAAAAUUGAUAUAUUGGACGACUAUAUUCGGACUUCGGAAAGGUUCCGAGUGAUUCGGAUAUUUUUCGGAGUACCGGAGAGUUACGGGAAUUCGUAUUGGGCCUUAAUGGGCCAUACGGGAAAGGAGAGAAAGGCCUCGAAAGGUGGCCGCACCCCUCCCCAUAGUCUGGUCCGAAUUGGACUAGGGAGGGGGGGCGCACCCUUCCUUCUUUCUCCUUCCCCCUUCCCUUCUCCUACUCCCACAAGGAAAGGACGAGUCCUACUCCCGGUGGGAGUAGGACUCCCCCCUAUGGCGCGCCUCUCCCCUUGGCCGGCUGCCUCCCCCUUACUCCUUUAUAUACGGGGGCAGGGGGCACCCCAGAGACACAACAAUUGAUCCUUGAGAUCUCUUAGCCGUGUGCGGUGCCCCCCUCCACCAUAUUACACCUCGAUAAUACCGUUGCGGAGCUUAGGCGAAGCCCUGCGUCGGUGGAACAUCAUCAUCGUCACCACGCCGUCGUGCUGACGAAACUCUCCCUCAACACUCGGCUGGAUCGGAGUUCGAGGGACGUCAUCGAGCUGAACAUGUGUAGAACUCGGAGGUGCCGUGCGUUCGGUACUUGAUCGGUCGGAUCGUGAAGACGUACGACUACAUCAACCGCGUUGUGAUAACGCUUCCGCUUUCGGUCUACGAGGGUACGUGGACAACACUCUCCCCUCUCGUUGCUAUGCAUCACCAUGAUCUUGCGUGUGCGUAGGAAUUUUUUUGAAAUUACUACGUUUCCCAACAGGUCCCAGAUGGAAUGAGAUGGUGCGUGGGGCAUACAUCUAAUUCCUUUGCAAUCGCUAUUGGCGUGGACUAAAAUAUGGAAGUUUGAGUGACAAGACUUGAAUAUGCAACUUUGGCAGUGGCACAGACCGAUUUUUCCAUAAAUAUAAUUAAAAAAAAUCCCUGGUGGGUUUGAUGAUAUUGAUUGGAAAUGUAUAUGUUAAUAUUUCUUUCCUAUAAACUUGAUUAAAGUGUAGCCAGACGAAACUAAUAUACACUCUAUUUUGAAAUGUAGGGCGUAUGCCAUAUCUUUAAGAUAUCAUGACCAUGGCUAUUGAUGAUUUCUCUAUACUACUCAUGACAUUUAAUAGGAUUUAUUGGCAUUUAUUUGGAUAAGGAUAACCUUUUGUUGUGGGUCGGAUAAGGAUAAGCUUGAUGCAAAAGAAACUGAAACAUGUUGUUUAAUGACAUUAAUUGGAUAAGGACAACCUUAAUGCAACCACAUCUAUAUAAGACGACUGAACGGUACCAGUCAUGACCACAGAAAACAUAUCGAUUGACAGACUAUUGCAUAACUACAUAUUCUCAGUUGUUCUGUGUUCUUAGGCAAUGGCGAAAAAUAGCAUCUUCCAAGUGAUCAUUGUUUUUCUCAUGGUGCAAGUCUGCUUGCUCAUGAUGAUGGCAGCACCGGCAGCACAUGCAGCUGCUAGACCAGUGGGGUACAAUCCAGUGUGCUGCCCUAGAAACAUUUACUGUUGCGGGUUCGGUGGCGCAUUGGCCAAUUCACCCGUGCCAUCCAUUGAGCCUUGAAGUGUGGUUUUAUUCUCCUCGAGGUAGUAAGCUCGGCAUAUAAAUAAUAUAUGUAGUUUUAUUGUUUCAUGUGUUACCUAUUCCCGAAUAUUUGUGAUGCUAUUUUCAAGAAGAUAUUGUACUAGCUACUUACCUAAUAAAAUGGGAGGAGAUUAUUAUAUAUAUUGUUUUAUGUUUACGUCAGUCCAUUUGAAAACAAGAUUAUUUGGCCGCACUGAUUUAUGGCAAAAAAACGAGUGGUGAGGUGCGUGCCUUUGGGAAUUUCUGUUUUAUUGUUCCGUUGGUCCUCCAUUUGUCGAGAUUGUCUGGGUCGUGGCAGCAUGCUUUAUUUUUCACAAAGGUCAUAACUUUUUAUAGCAUUUAUUGAGUGAUGGAGUACAUCACCAAUUAGUAGAAACCAAUUACUAUUGGCGAUGCUUUUUUUUAAUCAAGGGAUCCACACUCUCUUCCUUUCUUGCAAGAAGGCCGAUGCCAUGUAUUAAAAUUGUCCAACCCUUACAACACCAUCCUUACAAAAGAAUUAACAUAGAAAACAUAUCCUGGGUUAUAUCAAGGGCGUCUUCCUUCCGGACUUGUACGGCGUGAGCAAAACUCGAUGUGGCCUUUGGAUUUCCAGAACAACCUUAGAGCCAGGGUAAAUCAUUCUCUACAUUUUUCAAGUGAGUGCUCAAUUCCUCAAAAAAUAGUCAAAUAAAUAGUAUACGAAUAUAACUUUUUAUUCUUUGAUGGAGCACGAAGGGAUUGUUUGCCGUGGAUCCUAUAUGCGCAAUCUAUCUAUUAAUCUAUUACUAUACUAAUUAGAGACUCCUUCGAAAUUCCCACAAUUAAUCAGAAAAUACGGACUGCUCAUCUGGUGGGACCGAAUUAUUACUGUGUAGAUUUUUUUAAAUUUUCUCACAUUAAUAAAGAUUAAACAAUAAUUAUAAGCCCCCCAUCUGGUGGGACUAAGUUAUUACCACAUAGAUUAACUCAUAUAGUCCUUGGCCAGAAUUUUGCUCCAUUCUCCUAAAUCCAAAUAAUAAUCACUCAAACUCUGUUGUAAAAAUAGAACACUAAAAAAUUACGAUUCAUUCUCUAGUCUCAACUAUUCAAAGGAAAAAAAACUCCCACCUCAAUAUAGGCACUACACAGUCUCUUCCUCUCCCCAUUAAAAAGAUCAUCAACCGGAAGCAAUCUCCAUAAAUUCCAUGGUCACGCAUAGCAUUGUCCAUUGGAUCUGCGAUCGAUCGUCUUGGUCAUUGGCGGAGGCCUUCCUCAAUGGUGUGGCCGAACUCGAUCUGCGGGUGAGGUCAAGAUAACGCUUUGGUCCUAGGGGUUUGGUAUAGGGUCUUACGUAAGGAAAAUGGAAGAAAAAUGAAGUGAAGGCAGAGAACCCAUACACAAAGAGAAGCGAAGUCUGUGCCCCUAGCUACUCAGUAUGCGUACGCGGUUUUCGACACUAGAUGCUGCUUGUUAUUACCAACCAUUUGUAGGCGGUUUGAUUGUUCUGACUAAACCCGGGCAAACGUCAGGCUGGGCUGGGCUUGUAAAAGCCCGGCCUUCAUUCUCAAGCCCGAGCCCGACCCGAAGUCCAAAAACUCUCUGUUUUCAAGCCUGAGCCCGGCCCAAAAUCAAGCCCGAAAGCUCGGCUUGAACGUUGUUUUUAGUGUACGCACGUGCAAGCCUGACCCAAAGCCCGAAAGCCCGUCUCGAAAUACAGAUAAAGAGAAGCCCGAGCCCGGCCCAAACUAUCUUUCGGGCUGCAAAACAAGGCCCGAGCCCAGCCCGAAUGUGAAGCCCGGCCGGGCCGGCCUGUCGAUGCUCGGGUUUAGUUCUAACCACCACCAGCGUCGGCCUUUGCAUCAAGCGAUGCACACAGUCAUUUAUUAAAAAGUAUAGGGUCUCAAAGUAUGAGUAACAUCUCAAGUUGCCAAAAAGGAACAAGAAAUCAAACAAAUAGCCACAACUGACAAAAUAGGAAUGUGGCUAAACACCUAUCUUAUUAAUGGACCAGCAUCUAAACAGGUUGUACUUAGCCCGUGCUACCGUCUCCCAUUGAUUGCACCCAACAGCCAUAAGCCCCCUCUCUACCGCAUGGUGUAGUAAUGACCACUUAGGGAUCCAGCUAGUCGCCCUGAUAGAUAACAUACAAAAAGCUUGUGAUAUUUGUCCUGUUAAAAACACAAUCAUUCCGAUAGUUCCAAAUAGGACAAACUAAAUGCACAAACUAAUUCGUGACGUAGUAUUGGGCUCAACCCCACCUAGCCAGUUACCAAACAAAUUGGAGAUAAUAUUAAGAGGAGGUAUGUUCAACGACACGUGUAUUGUCCGUCACGAUAAGUUGGAAAUGUGGCAAGUGAGAGACAAAUGUUGACUCGUUUCAUCAUGAUCGCAAAACUACACCAUUUACUCCCCUCCCACCUACUCCCUCCGUUCCUAAAUAUUUGUCUUUCUAGAUAUUUCAACAAAUGACUACAUACGGAGCAAAAUAAAUGAAUCUACACUCUAAAAUAUGUCUACAUACAUCCGUAUGUGAUAGUCUGUUUGAAAUGUCUAAAAAGACAAAUAUUUAGGAACGAAGGGAGUACGUUGUAGGCCAACUCUAACCCAUCCACUACAAAAUAGAGGAGGAUCCGUCUGAGCAAAGCUUGGUGGAGUAUAUUUACUUCACUAAGUUUUGGCCGGACAUAGUCGACCCCCUAAAUAUAACCGAGUACAAUUUAUAAUUGGCUUAUACAAUUGGUUGAGCACUUGGUGUGCGUCUGCUUGGGGACUCCGGCAUGGCGAGCACCCCUGCGGCGAGGAACACGGGUUAAACACGUAGCUGAUCAGGAUGCAGACGUUGACAGAUAGCUGCCACCGAGAUGGCAAGCUAGACAUUGCCAAUUGCAGCAUGUUGGUUCCGCUGGCAAGCUUGCUACUCACAUGAUCCUGCUCGGCCUGCACCGUGCCUCGUCCCCCAUCGCGUGCUACAGCUCCUGCUGCUUCCCCUCUGACGGAGGACUGCACCCCAUCACUGUGCUCGACCAUGUAGUGCCUGAAGGGCCUGACUCCUCCGUUGGACAGGCCUAAGGAAAGCUGAAGCUGGAUGGCGUCGUCGACUGCCUGCGAGAUGGGCGCCGGAGUGAGUGUGGUGUUGCGUGGCACCAUGGCAGCAUGAGCUGCAGCUUGAGGUCGUGCCGAACGCUCAUGCCACAGGCGCUCGUGAUGCUGCAGGUCGAGGUCGCCUUCGACUAUGGCACAUGCGCCGAUGCGACGGACGUGUCCCCGUCCGAGCCCCGCAAGGAGAGGUCGCUGUCACUGUCGAACGCCACCCACGAUGAUUCUGACGACCACGGCUAGGAGGAGGGACGGGACGCGGCACUGGGCCGCGACCCGGGGAUAAGCCAGUGGUGGCGGCGACAUCGCCGGGGGCGGGGGUGACUGAGGCUGCGGGUGGUCACCAGGUGGCCACAGAGUGGGGACAGGCGGUCUUAGGGAGAGGCGACAGGUUUUACUCGGCCGCCUUCAGGAGUAAUUUUAGUGGUUGGAUAGGCGGACGAGUAAAAUUUAGCCUCACAUAUACUAUAAGUUUUAGUACUUCGGCUAGGUGCGACAUAAACGAGGAAAACCGAAUUUAUCCUUCCUUAGACUGGCCAUAAUGGGUAGUAACAUAUACAUGUUACUAGUCUAUGUUACCAUCUUUAUAAUGGGGAGUAACAUAUGUGUGGUAACAUGCAACACUUCAUUUAUUAGGCUAUAAACUCAUUUUGCCUUGAUAUGUGUGAUGUUACUCAUACUACUAGUAACUAGCUAUGUUACCACUUUACUCAAUUUCUUCAUUUAUUGUUUACCACAUCAUCUAUUUUAUCUAGAUAUGUGUGAUGUUACUAUCUAUGUUACUCCCACUAUGGGUAGUCUUAUAGUCCGAUAGGGAAUCUUGAUUUUAAAGGGGCCUUUGAUUUUUAAACUUGAUUUCAGCACGUCCAAAGACCGGUGUGGGUAUUAGGGACACAACCCCUUUUGAUGGCCGCUUCUAAUGCCCUUUUUCUACUAGUGAAUAUUGGUUUUGUGCAUCUAUUUGUGACGAUUGCUUUGCUCAUGGUGUCCUUCGAUGAAGUCGGGGUCGCCGGUCGCCUGCGUGCAGCUAUGAAGUUAUUCGUGCAAUAUUUUUUCUUAAUUAAUGAAAAUAACAAGUCUUUUACUACCCCACUGUACAAAAAAUAUAAAAAUGUUUAGAUCAGUACUUUAGUUAUGUAAACACGCACAUAUUUCUUUUACGGAGACCGUUUAACAAAUCAACUAGCAUUAUGUCGAGGAACGAUGCCUGCCAAACAGGGGUUUUGCACCGAGCCGCCGGUGGAAUUGGCCUGAUCGAUUGCCGACGCGGCUAGCCGAGCUAGCUAGAUAGGCCAAAAACAGGGAGCGCCCACACAGACAGAAAUGGAACGCACGCUAACUGACACUGCACUCACGCAUAUGCUCCUACCUAUUCCCUCCGUUCGGAAUUACUUGUCGUAAAAAUGGAUGUAUCUAGACUUAUUUUAGUUCAUCCCGCCGGAGCACCCUGCUCUGCCCAUCUCAUCUCAUCUCACUCACACUGCUUACUUGACUUCACUACCUAGCUCACUUCCUCCGGUUCUCGUGCCACCAAGCUUUCUUCCACGGCAACGGCCACGGCCACGAAGAUGUCUACGGUGACCCGUGCCCACCUCGACCAGAGGCUCGCCGCCGCCAAGCGCUGCUCCAGAGGUACUAACCAAAACGGUGGCAGGCCAGCAAUGCCCGUGUCGUUCUGCUGUUAAACAUUGCAGCCUAUGCGCUGAAACUUGAUCGCCAUUGACAUGCCUGUGUUGCUUCGGAACUGCAGAGGCUGCCAUGGCAGGAGCCAAGGCCGCGGCCGUCGCCACCGUCGCAGCCGCAGUCCCCACAGUAAGUAGCCAGUUAGCCAUUCAGUUAUUCGGCCAAAUCCUUGCACGGUUCAUAGCAUGUCUCAUGCAUGCGUUACCUGUAACUUGAGCUGGCGAGCGCGAAGAUGCGAAGAUGCUGCCGUGGGCCAAGGCACACCUGAACCCAACCGGGCAGGCCCUCAUCAUCUCCACCGUCGCCGACAAGACCAUCCUCUCCAUGGCCAGGAAGCACUCCUUCGAGGACGCGCCGGACCACCUCAAGAACACCUCCUUCCACUAAUUACACAGUAGAUCCAUUAAUAGUGCGCAACAGGCUGCACGUCGGCCCGUACGGUCGUACGUGUUUGCUGAAUGAUACAGUAGUAUAAUGUUCAGCGAGAGAGGCGAGGCGAUGCAGAUCAGGCGUCGCGCUUCUAUCCGUGCAAGCACUUAUCUGACGAAUUUACCAUGUAAUCUAGCCAGUACUCUUGAAUAAAUGAAUACUUGUAUUUGUACAACUCUGAUCCAUCUGCCAUCACUCAUCUUACAUGUGGCAGAGCAUAAAAAAGAAAUCUCCACCGCCGGCCCCUAAAACGUACACAAUAUCCGUUUGCGAGCCGGUCAUCCAACGCUAAUCCAACAAGCGUCCAGACACAUUUCAAAUAGACCUUAAACAAUCUAGAUAAAAUUCAUACAAACCGAACGAUUUUCAUUCAAACCGGGACAAGUUCAUUGCAUUUUAGAUAUAUUUCAACUAAACAAAAGUGGGCGACACUUUUUAACCCAGUCUAAAUAUUCGUCGGUCGUGGAGGCCUUCAUGUUCUGCAUCAUGUCUUUACCAUGUCUGGCAAGUUCAGUGGUCGCAAGCUUUUGUGAAGUGAAGUUGCCGGUGAGGAAGAAUCUGACUUGGGACAUGACUCACAUGGGACACAGGACUUGCCCACAUCCGUGUCCCACGUCCUACUCUUCCCGGCUAGAGUCUGUGAUGUGGACGUUGCCGGACAUGGAUGGAUCGGCCUCAUGGCCAAUGCGGUUGGGCACGAAAUGUGAUAGCGCCGCGAUCAAUGCGGAACUGGCGACGUCCGUGAUGUUUGUGCCCACUCUUCAUCCACCUUCACCUGCAAGACGCACUGCCGCCAUCGCUCGCGAGGGAUGUCGUGAACUGCGGCCAACGACCAUAAGGCUGGUCCAUCCGGCAUUUCCGACACGAAGGUUGUCUCAUCUCCAACGACAAGUAGAACUAGGAUAGUUUGAUCUAUGUUUGAUAUAGUACGUGGUUUAAUUUUACGUUCCAUGAUGUAGUAUCAAAAAAGUAGAGGGUGAGAUUUGGGGUUUGUGGUUGCAGCGAGAGAUAAAUGAAGGGUGACCGGGCUCGGUCUACGGAUGCGUCCGGAAACAUCUGCGAACAUGUGGGGUCACUUUUGAAAUAUGCAGCUGUAGAUGUUGUAACAUUACCAAGAUUUCAAGGAAUUGAAAAUCGGGAUGAUCGGUUUCCUACCUCUUCAUCUUUUUUUAUCGAUAAUUGUAGACGCACGGGGUUUUACGGCCCGUGACAGGCUCUUUNNNNNNNNNNNNNNNNNNNNNNNNNNNNNNNNNNNNNNNNNNNNNNNNNNNNNNNNNNNNNNNNNNNNNNNNNNNNNNNNNNNNNNNNNNNNNNNNNNNNNNNNNNNNNNNNNNNNNNNNNNNNNNNNNNNNNNNNNNNNNNNNNNNNNNNNNNNNNNNNNNNNNNNNNNNNNNNNNNNNNNNNNNNNNNNNNNNNNNNNNNNNNNNNNNNNNNNNNNNNNNNNNNNNNNNNNAGUGGGGGUGGGGCCCUGACCUUAAUCUCCAUCCAAACAGAAGAUCCCAACUAGGACACUCCGUGAAUCCCUGUAAAACAUAGCCCGUGUGUGUAGCAUUGCUCUUUUUUUAUAGGAAAGGCUGAAAUAAAUCCAGGAUCAAGUCUAGAAUUUGAAUCUUGGUGGGCUGGGAUACCACCGUCCUUCUAACCAUCGAACCACAGGUUCGUUCGCUUCUGCCUCUUCAUCUUAACGAUACACACAUUCAUACUUAUAUUUAUUUAUUAUAAACAAUUGUGAGUAGGAGUAAUAAAACUCAGUACAAAUCAAUGAGUGGAGGGAGAAAAAAAUGCCACAAUCGGUGUAGGCAAACAUGCCUACACAAAAAGCAUAAUAUUGGAUCAUCUAUCCUACGUGAAAUGUUAUGUUAUUUUUAAACAGAGGUAAAAGAUUUUCCUCAUCUAUUAAGUAACAAAAUAAUGACAGGAGGGACGUUUUGCCUUUUUUUUAUGUGUGAAGAUUGAUGUUGGUUAUGUGCAUCUUAACUAUGCAGAGGCCAGAUAUAUGUUUAUUUUGACUGUAUUCAGUUGAUGCUUCAUUUUAUUAAAUAAUAAAAUCCAUUCUUAAUGAAAAAAGCAUGGUGGCGGGGCUGACCCCGCCAAACAAAGGAUCAGGCGCUCGCGGAAUUGGAUCGCCGACGGGUUGGCGGUAAACUGGGAGCGCCCACACCACACACAUCGCCAACAACCUGAAGGGCACGCUGACAGAUACUGCUCUCACGCACAUGCUCCUACCUACGUGUUAUCCUACCUAGUACGUGUUAUCCUACGCAGGAACACGCUCCCCGCCAACCCGAUGGAUCGAUCCAUGCCUCGUCUUAUCCAGAAAACAGAGUCCGCCACCUGUGCUCUGCCGCACCUGCACCGCCCACCGGUACCAUUACCGAAACCACGGUCUUGCCUGCUUCCCACCGUAUCAGGUCGUCUUCCUGCCCGGCCGCACGCCGGUUGGGCGGUUUCCUGCAACCUAUAAAUUCCGCCGGAGCACCUCGCUCUGCCCAUCUCAUUCUCAUAUCACUUCACUGCUACUACUAAUUCACUUCCUUCGGAUCCCGCUCGUGCCACCAAGCUCUGCUCCCGCUAAGAUGUCGACGGUGACCCGUGCCAACCUCGACCAGAGGCUCGCCGCCGCCAACCGCUGCUCCAGAGGUAACCACCGACGACCGGUUCCGGCCACAGCCCAGCACUGCUCUGCUCCUAUAUCCCAACCAUCCAUUGCAGCUUAUGUGUCUGCUGAAACUUGAUCUUGAUUAACAUUCCUGCGUUGGUCUGAAACUGCAGAGGCUGCCAUGGCGGGAGCCAAGGCCGCGGCCGUCGCCACCGUCGCUGCCGCAGUACCCACAGUAAGUAGCCAGCUAGCCAUUCAGUUCCAGAGUUCAUAGAACACAUCUCAUGAAUCAACGCGUUACCUGUACUGUAAUUUCAGCUGGCGAGCGUGAGGAUGCUGCCGUGGGCGAGGGCGCACCUCAACCCCACCGGGCAGGCGCUCAUCAUCUCCACGGUCGCCGGGAUGGCCUACUUCAUCGUCGCCGACAAGACCAUCCUCUCCAUGGCCAGGAGGCACUCCUUCGACGACGCGCCAGAGCACCUCAAGAACACCUCCUUCCACUAAUUAGACUAUAAUAGUAGACACAUAUAAUGUUCUAUAAUGGUACUAUAAUGUUCAGCGAGAGGGGCGGUCAGG